GCCUUCCCCAUCUACGACUACACCAAACUCAAGACGCAAACGAAGGAGGUUUUUCUUAUUGUAAAGUUGUAACCUCUCAGCCUCAUCUACAUGCGAUACAUUACUCAGCCCUUCUAUUCCACAUUCUCGAAGGAGUUGAAGAUUUUUCAGAGAUUCAAGCCUACACGUGCUGCCACCAUCAACACCUCCACCCACAACAAACUUUUCUAAUGUUCGAAGGCUGGUCAAUCUGGAAAUCCCUAUUGGCAGGUACUUCAGCUUUUCAGUUUGAUCAUUCAGUAAACUCCUCAUGUUCUUUAACUUCCCAAUCCCCGCAGGCAAUUCUCUAAGAUAUUUGCACCGCCUAAUAUCUAGUUUUUGUAAAUUAUAUAAUUCACACAAAGUCUCAGGUAGUCUCGCUAUAUACAAUUUAGACAACUUAAGAUAUUUUAAAUGUAUCAAUUUUCCAACAUUAUCUGGAAUUUCUGUAAUCCAAUUUGUGUCUUCAUACAAAAGCUUGGUCGAUUGGCUUAUAACUAAUGCCCUUAAACAUGCCAAUUUACUAAAUAACUCCCGAAGGAUGCUACUGUUAAGAGAUAAAUUGACAAAACUUUGGUCAUAAAUUAAUAGGGUACGCAAUCUAUUAAGUCCAUAAAUGGUCAUAGGAAAUGAAGCUCCUCCUCCAAAAUUUAACCCUAAGUGACGGACUUUGUCACCAAAAAAGUUUAUGACUGAUUCCUUGGUACCAUUAAUUUCUAGCCACAAACAUUCUUUGCUACUUACAAAUUGGGCAAAAUCAUGUACUAUGUCAUGCAUCUUACACCACAUAAAAUCAUCAUCGUCAUCAUAUAUUUUAAACUCUUGAAAGAAAGAGCGUGUUGCUAAGAUGUUGAAAUACUCUUCUCCAAUCAUCUCCAUUUCUUCGUCUUCUUCUGCAUUAAGGUAACCUUGAGCCAUCCACAGAUCAAUCAACUCCUCUUUAUCCAUCUCGUAGUCUUUUGGAAAGACAACACAAUAUGAGAAACACCGUUUUACCAUAGAAUUGGAGGGCAAAUCGUUAUAACUCAACAACAAAGGAGCUAAAAGACCUUGCCCAAUCUCUUCUACUUUCCACAUUUCACUAUCUAAAAUUAUUUGCCACUCUUUUUCUGUAAUUUUAGAGCGCAAGAGAUUCCCUAUUACCUUUGCAGCAAGAGGCAGGCCUUUGCACUUCCGUGCAAUUUUUCUCCCGAUUGGUUCUAAUUUUUCACGAUCCUCAAAGGACCUACGUAGAAAUGCUAUCUGCUUAAACAGUAACCAACAUUCCCCUUCACCCAACUCCUUGACAGGGAUAAUAUCUAUUGAUCCCAACUGUAGUGCAACUGACCUAUCACGUGUGGUAAUUAGAAUUUUACUUUCAUGGCGGCCAUUCUUUAGACAAGAAAAGAAUAGGUCCCAUUUUUUGUAAUCUCCAUCCCACACAUCAUCUAAAACAAGAAAAAAUUUCUUCCCUGUAAUAUAUUCCUGAAUCUGUUUCAUAAGAGAUUCGAAUUCGCUUAAACCAGAAGCUGACACACCUAAACCUUCAAUGAUUGCUUUGGCGACCCUAAUCUCCUCAAAAGUGUCUGAUACACACACCCAUAUAACUUUGUCAAAAUUUCUUUUCACCUCAUCAUUAUUAUAGGCUAGUUGUGCAAGAGUGGUUUUACCUAUACCCCCUAACCCAACUAGUGAGAUGAUAUGAAGGCCUUCUUGUUGUUCACUACUUUCACACAACAACUUGCUUAAGAGCUUCUUUUUCUCAUCAUCUCUACCGCAAACCUCUCCCUCAUCAAUCAAGGAGAUGGUUCGCACUCGCUCUGGAUUCCUAACAUUGUUACUCACAUUCUCAACAAAAUUAAACCUAUCUUUUCGAGUGGCAAUAUCAUCUAGCUUUUCACUGAUUUCUCUAAUCUUGACAGCAAUAUGAUGACGAAGACUGAGUUGUUUGAAACCACCAAAGCAGUUUGAGGCAGCAGGAAAGAAGGAACAUACCUUCGUCAAAAAAGUAACAAAAGCACUGUCGUUAUCAUCAUCAUCAUCAUCGCCUCGCUCAUCAAGCUGCAAUUUCCGUGUUUCAGUGAUCCACUCUUCCAACACAUCUUCCAUGUCGUAGGAUGCGUCUCUGAGCUGAUCCAGCCAAAAAGUAACAGCUUUGUCCUGCUUCAUUUGCCUCUGCUCUGCAUCUUCCAGCACAGCUUGAAUGGCUUGAAGAUUGGUGGUAAGCUUUCCCACUUCAUGUUCGACACCCGUGACAAGCCUCCACUUUUCUUUCACCUGAUCUUGAGCAAUGGAUUUCAGCUGGUCCAGGAGAGAGGAAACGAUCGCAUGAGCCAUUCUGAUAUUAGAUCAAAUGGUAAAUGCUGCAAUUGCUUUUCGUGCUGCUUAAAUGCUCAGAGGAAAGUAGCUUUUAUGUAUUCUGAGAGAAUGUUCAUUCAAGCAUGUUUGGAUUCUUCUUAUACUAAUUGGAGAUAUUUUAAUUUUUACCCUCAAGUCAAUGUCAAUGUGAACGUUCUUUUGUGCUGCAAAUUGAAGGAGUCCCCACAGGAGUCACCGUCGUGGGCUAGCUUUCUGCGGAGUACACAGCAUCAGCACUUGUAAAAUUUCUUACAUUUGUAUUUAGUUACUUGCCGCUCUUAAGAUAAUUAGCAACAAAAUAUUUGUAAACUGCAACAAAAAGCUCAGUGCAAUCUAUCUAUGAAUCUUGUGAGUUCACAUAUAAUACAGUCGAUUUAGAAUAGUCAUAAAUUUUUUUUAAUUAUAAAUAGUAGUAUAUUUUUAAUGGUAUAAUAUAUAUCGAUGAAACUAUAUAGAGUAAUUUCGCCUAAUUGUAUAAAUUCAUUAUGAAUAUCAUCACAAAUUUGUAUUUGGUCGGGACCGUGCGAGUGAAAUUUUUGAUAAAAAUCAUCUCCUGACAAUUUAUUUAUUAUAUUUUUCAAUUUAGCUUUAACGUAUGGAUCCAUUCCUUUUAUUAUCAGGUAGGCCAAAGCCAUUUGGUCAUUUGAUCCAUUCCUUUUAUUAUCAGGUAGUUCAAAUUUGUAUGGAUCCAUUCCUUUAGUUGGGACUUGGAAUAAGAUUAAAGAAAAAAAAGUUAUCCAUUUAUGAGACUUUAAUUUAUGUCAUUAUUGUUUAUUUAUAUUUAAUAUUAAUCAUGAAAAUUAAUAAUACCAUCAAUUAAUUGAUUUUACAUACUUUUUUAAAUAUUUGAUAAGAAUUUGAUAAAAAAUUAAUUAAGUAUUUAAAUUUUUAUUCAUUUUUUUAUUUGUUUAUUUUAUUAUGAAUACCCAAUAACUUACAAUAUGAUUAAUUUUCUUAUUCAGACUACUCAGCAUCAGCUCCUGUAAAAUUUCUUACAUUAUAAGCAACAAAAUAUUUAUAAACUACAACAAAAAGCUUAGAUCAAUCCACCGAUGAACCUUUUGAAGUUAUAUAUAAUAUAUUAAUUAUUGAUCUAGAAUAGUCUUAGUGGAUAGAUUUUUUUAAUUAUAAAUAUCAAUAAAUUUUUUAUCGUUUAAUAGAUAUUGAUGAAAUAAUAUAGUGUAAUUUUGCCCAAUCAAAUUAAUCCAUUAUGAAUUUCAGCACAAAUUUGCAUGUGGUCUGGACCGUGCAAGUGAAAUUUUUUUAUUAUAUUUUUCAACUUGGCCGACAACAUCUUUUUGUCAGGUAGGCAAAAGCAAAAGCCAUUAUCUCUAUUAUGCCAUGACAAACUCCAAGAUCUAAUUUAGAGAGCGACAACUUUUGUUAUCAGGUAGGCAAAAGCCAUUGUCUCAUUAAUUCAUUUGGUCAUUUGAAAAAGUUGUGGCUCUGUUUUAGUCCAGUGUCAAUAUAUAACUUUAUUAUGUCAUCACAAACUUCAAAAUAUAGUUUAGAGUGUGACUCGAAUAAUUUUAAUUAGUAAUUUAUUAUAUCUACAGUCGGAUACUUUGUUGAGAAAAAAAAAAAAGAAUAAAAUCUGUCCCAUAAUGAUUUUAAUAAAUAUCAUACUAUCGUCCACGUACUUGGGCCAUCUUCAAUAUGACACCAAAUCUAACACCAAAUCACCUUUUGUAUCAUUUUUAGUAUAAAAUACUUCUCUAAUGUAACACUAAAAGCAACACCAAAAUAGUGUUAUGAAUAAUAUUGCAUCAAAUAUGGUGCAACACUAUUCAUUUGGUGCUAGGAAAAAAAAGUCCCAAAUAUCCUUACUACCUUUUCUUAUUUACAUAUAUGUCCUAUUUUAUAUAAUAUUUUAAGUUAUUAUUAUUAUUAUUUUUGUUAUUAUUUUUUUUUCAUUUUUUUAAUUUUUGAAUAUUAUACUAAAAUUUUAAAUAAAAAAUAUUUAACACAAAAAUUAAUAAUAAAAAGAAAAUGCCAAAUUUAAUAAUUUUCUAUAUUUCUUUUGUUAAUCGAUAUAAAAUUAUUUAUUACUUAAUUAUAUGUAUUAAUAGUAAUAUUUAUUGUGUUAAUUGAAUUAAUUCUUGAAAUUAAAAGAAUAAAAAGAAGAAUAUUCUUUUUGGUGUAAAUGGAUUGGAGAUGAAAUAGCAAUUUGGUGUGAAAAAAGUACAUUUUUGGUGUAGUAUCACUAUUGUGGUGAUACUAUAGUGACACAAGAUACUGACGCAAAAAUCACUGACACCAAAAAUUAGUGUCAGUGUGUUCUAGCUUGAGCAUUACUGACACAAUUAACAAGUGUCAGCAAAAGUAAUUACUGACACUAAAGUGGUGUCAGUAAAGCCCAUUUUUCUAGUAGUGAAUUUUUAACUCAAUCGCAGGGCAUAAUAGCCUAGGUUGUUCUGCAUUUGGUUCGACUCAUCGCAAGCUUGGAAACUAUAUUAUAUGUCCAAAACGAAUACUCGUAACCCAAUUUCUAGCCUCGGAAGAUACCCUGCUUAUUCCAUGCAACAAUCUUAUAUCAACUUGCCUUCUCUGCAUCUUCAAGCACAACUUGAAUGGCUUGAAGAUUUAUGGUAAGUCACAAGCAGCAAAGGAGUUCAGCUGCUCCGGGAGAGGGGAAGCGAUCACAUCCAUUCUGGCAAAGAAAAGGAGAAAUAAUUUCAUAAGUUGUUCAACGUGCUUUUGUUGCAAAAAUACUGAAAGAAACGAGUUGUUGCAUUCUUCUUACACUACACGAAAAAUGUUUAUGGUUAUUGUCGCCUAACCCACGCGUCAAUAAUUUUAGCAUUUUUAAUUUUCCUGAUUCUACUCCACAUCUGUGAUACAUAAUUGUAAAUAUUCUCUAAUUAAUUUGUAGUGGUCGGGCCAGUGCCAUUUAAAACGAAAACAAAAAACCAAAAGAAAAAAAAAACAAAAGUUGGAAAAAAGCAUGCAUCACCGAUAAUUCAUUUAUUUAUUUGAGGACGGGGAUAUUUUCUACCUACUUAUUUUACAAAUCUACCUCGCUGUCAGAAAAUAAUUGUAAUACGUUCAUACUAUUUUUAAAAUAUAUAAAUCAAUAAAACGUAUAGACAAUCAAUAAAUUAAAUCAUUCAUAUAAUUUUUUAUUUUUUUAACUUAGGUGUCUUUGACCAUUUAGGUUGCUUUAAGAUAAGUUUUAUUUGACUAAUUUACCAUGAUAAUAUAAAAUGACUAAAAUACCCCAAGAAUCAAGAGUUCUUGUAUAUAAUAGUUUAGGUAUUUUAUUUUAUUUGAUUCAAUCUCCAAACUUAUUGUAAUUACAUCUUCUUUAUUUCAAUUUUUAAAAAAUAAUUUGAACUUAUUGUAAUUAUUUCUUGAGAGUGGGGUGGGUUUACAAAAAUUAUGGGCCUUUUCGUUUAUUAAUUCUUGGAAAUUAAUGGCUCCGUAAUCAAUUUCUUUUGUUCUUUUAUUUAAAUAGAAAAGAAAAAUUAAGAGGAGCUUUUGUCUAUUGAAUUGAGGUUCUGUGAAGAAAAAUACGUAUCAAAUGAUCGACGGAUUGUACUUUUCAAUUUUUUACUUCACAGUACUUUUCUUUAUUUGCUGGGUCAUUUAUGUUUUUUUGGACGGAUUUAAGUGUGCUUAUACAUUUUAUUGAAUUUUAUUUUGAUAAAAUCACCAACGAUCAGAAGAGAUUUACACUACCUAUCUGAGUAUUUGGUUCUCUAAUGUAAGGAAGCAUGUAAUCUUUCGCCAAUAAUUUUUUAUUUCAUCAAAAUGUUAAAAUGUUGAAAGGAGAAUUAGAUUUAUUUUUUAUAUAAAAAAGAGAAUUAGAGUUCAUAUUGUAGAAAAUUCUUUUUCCUACUAUAAGUCCAGUUCGAAUCUUUGAAGCAAAUGAUCUAAUCUCAAGCAUAGAAAGUAGGAAGAUCGAUUGAACAGCGGACACAUUAACAAAAAAUAAUUACUUUAAAAAGUUAAUAUUGGAUAUCACAAAACUUUUAUUAUUAUUAUUGUAAGUUGGUAUGUUGAAAAAUAAACAAGCUUUAUAUGAACUUUAAACACAGAUAAUAAUUUGCACGUAGUAAAAUUGCUUAAUACAUCCAUUAUUUUAUCAUUUUUAACUUUAUCUAUCGGUUAUUUUCAUUUUGAAAAUAUAGGAUAAAUGAAAUAAUAACAAACACAUAUUUCAAUUGAAAAUUUAUCAACUUGAAAACACCAUUUUCAUUCUCAUAAUAUGAAUUUAAAAAUAAAAUACAGAACAUGCCCUAACAUUUUCUGAAUUUAUUUUUAUACCGUAAAAGAAUCAAAUUACUCACACAAUUAUUUUAGCUUUUAUGAUAUAAACAAAUAAUCAUUAUUUAAAUUCAAUAGAAAGAGGUAUUCUUGGUAGAAUUGACGUCUUUAGCAAAAUAUAAUCUAUUUGGGACUUCUUACUCCAUUAGGUUAAUUGGCUCAUCAUUAAUUUUCGAUUAUAAACUUUAUAUUCGAACUUUGUAAGACCAUCAUUUCUCCCUUUUUAUUUUAAAAAAAAAAUUAACUUCUUGCAUGAUCUAGGUGGUCUCCUUUCAAAAGAAACCAAAAAAAAAAAAAAAACUAAAAUAAAAGGAAAUAAAGCAUAUUCUUUAUCUUAAUUACUUUCAUUUGUUAUUGACAUGUACUCAUGCAUUGUGGUCUUUUGUAUACUUUAUCGAUAUGUUUUGCUUAAGGGAUAAAACUCAUUAUGUGGCAAAAUUUUAUUAGAGCUGGGAUUAUUUAUCUGUGUUCUAGUACUUUGAGCAUCUUACUAUACACUCGUCUAUAAAAUUUUAACAUUAAUUUUUACUACUCAUCGAAAUAUCAAAAUAGUCCUUACUAAACAUCUCUCAUUAAUGUUCUGUAACGUAUGUGAAAAAAAAAUAAUAAUAAUAAGAGGAAGCUGGGUAAUGUUUUAUGGGCGAGAGGGAUAGAGGAAGCUGUCAAACCGACCCGGAAAACCCGACCCAAAACUGCGAACCCGACCCAGACAUAUCUCCGAUUUUCGGCCACCUCACCGGCCAUGGAUGGUAGCAACGAAAGCUCCUGAGCCAGCCAUCACUUUCCCACCGUCACUGUCGCCAAAAACCAACCGAAACGCCGCCGUUUGAAGCGCGAAUAGUCGCAGCCAAAACCUAUCACGACCGUCGUUGAUUCCGUCGGAAUUAGGCCAUGCCAGACGGAGAAAUGGUAGGGGGUAAACAGAGUUUGUAACGGAGGUGGGGUAAAUGGAGGAUGAUGUAGAGAGGGCAACCAACGGCCAUGAUGAGGGAGAGGAGGAGGAGGAGGAGGAGGAGGGUGAGGUUAUGGACGGCUGUGAUGGGCUUGAGGAUGUGGGGUCCAAUGAGAGGUGAUGAUGGUGGUGAUGUUGAUGUUGAUGUGUGGUAGAGGAUGAAUGUGAGGGAAAGGUAAGUGAGGAUGGAGAGAUACGUAACUAUUAUUUAUUGAAAAUUAAUUCUUUAAAUACUUUAAAAUGUAAAAUUAUUAAAUAAAAAUUCAUUCUAUUGUUGUUAAUUCACAAAAUUUUAAUUCAAUUAUAACAUUUCUACUUAUUUUUUUAAGUUAAAUUAUAUCUUUUUUAUUUUUUUUUCUAAAUUAAACUAAUUUUUCUAUUCUUCUAUUGUCUAAAGUUUUUCGACAUAGUUUUAUUUCAAAAUAGAUAAAACAAGCACAAAAAAAAGUGAUGAAUAAAAGAAUAUAUUAAAAAGAAAUAAGAACAAAUAACAACACAACUAAUUAAGAGAAUAAUAAAAAGAUAAAAUCAUAAAUUUGAGAUGAAAUCAUAAAUUAACUUAUAUUUAUAUUAAGGCUAUUGUUUGAAAAUUUGAGUAACGACCAAUAGUCAUAGAAAAUAGAGAAAACUAUUAGAUUUUUUCUUUUUCUUCUAUAGUAAAAAGUAGAGGAAGCAAGAUUUUUUCCCCUCUCUCUCUUUCUUUCUCUCAAACACCAAGAUGUCUUCAUUAUUGGAGGAAAAAUUUAAUGGAUAAGUAAUAAAAUGUAGGGCUUUUAUAGAGGUUCAAAAUAAAUAUAAAACUUUUGAAAUAUAACUUAUUAAUUUUAACAAUGAAAUAGAUAAUUUUUAGGAUUGAAACGAUUAAUUUAUUGGUUUUGUAGAAAUUAAAACAAUUAAGUACUACAUUAAAUACACUUUAUAGGAAUUUGAUAGUUUAUUUAGAAAAAAGAUAAUUACAAAAUAAUAAUAAAUUAAAUGAAUAAUAAUGACUUUUAAAUUCAUUUUCCUCUUUUAUAUACAAAAUAAUCAUCUCAUAGGACUUUUAUAUAAAGUGGAGUUCUAUGCAACUGCCUAAGUUGCCUAGAGGUCGAGCCGCUACUGAUUACAAGCCAAUAUUGGAGUGUUGAGGUAACUAGAUAUGAAGCCAUGGCUGGUUUUUGGGGGAGAAAGAUUUGGAAGAGAUUAUGUUGAGAGGAACGGGGGAGUUCAUAAAGUUUUAGGAUAAUGUGGAGGGUAUUUUGGACAUAUUACCGUCUUAGCUUAAAUUUUGGGAAAAAGAUAAUCAAUAAUAAACUAUUUUUUCAUAUCAAUUUAAAACUCCGAGUGUGUCUCCAAAAAUUGUUUUCUUUUUUUUAUUAUUUUGGAUUUUAAAUCUUAAAUUUAGUAAAGGAAGUUAAAUCAAGUGAUCACUUUUUUUUUUCAUGCAAAGCAAUUAAUCUUUUUUGUAAUUUAAGCAAAUAUUGGGUUGCGUACUUUAACAAUAUUAAUAUUUGAUUCGAAAUUUCAUCUACCGAAACUACAAAAAUUAUUAUUUUCUAUUAAAUCAAAAACAAAAUUAAGAAAUAACUUAUUAUCUGCCAACUGUCAUUCAACAAAGCCAUCACUCAUGCAAAAAAGGGAAAAAAAAAGUGAUAUAUUCAUUUUAACGUAAUUUCAUACCAACAUAUCAUCCUUUUCUUUUGAACAAUGACCUCUUCAAUAAUAAAAUAUGGUAAAAGAGGAUGGGUUUCAGGUCUGGCGUCCGGGCCUUGGUGACAAUGGCAUCUUCUGCUCAAUCAAACUUGUGGAUUACGUGCACUCAACGUCGACAAUAUGGAAAUGGGAGAAAAUUAUGUUGAGUAACAUCUUGUAUGGUCAACGCGUCGAGUAUGGACUUGCAUGAUCGAGUCAGUACAACUAAAGUCGGGUAGAGUUUGGUAAAUCUCUAUAUUGGCUUGAGGUUGGACAACUAUACCUUUUAAGCUACAUAUUUAAACAAUUUUAGUAAAUAUUUACUAUUUUGAUUUAAAAAUUAAUUUGAUUUGAUCUCAUAUUUUAUUAUUAAAAAAUUUAUAAUAUCUUUAAUAAUUUUAUUAAAUUAUUAUUUAAAAGUCAUACAUUUACUGCACAUUAUCAACUUUCUGCUAUUUUUUUUGUUCUCACAACAGCUAGUAAUAUCAAACAAGAGCUAAGUUAAGUAUGAUCAAUUAAUUAAAGUUUUGAUUUUUUGUAUAAAAUAAUCCUUAGAUAAUUAGUCUAUAUAGAAUAUUGGCUACUUCAAAUGGAAACUUGUGAUCAAAAGUGUAAUUCCCUCUAUCAGUGAACUAUACUUGCCAGGAAAUUAACCCCAGGCGAGUACCACCACCUCCUACUAUUUCUUAGGUGUCUCAGAGUUUGAUGAGGACUUCCAUGACGUGUCUCUUCGACAGGCAGCGAAAUUGGGCAAUUGACUACAUUAACUCCAACAAAUUUAUGCAGUCACCUUCCUCCGGACUAUCCUCUUUCUUCGCGCUUUAGUUGCCCUUAUUUCCCCUUUAAUACAGUCAACAUUAUCUUGUUUGAUGCCAAGGAGACCAAGCCCAGAAACAAUGGCAUUCUUUGAUAUCAACCACCUGGGGACUUUUGAGCUGAGCCAUGACAUCCUGAGAUGGCCUGUUGUGUAAGCCUUCUUCAAAAGGUCAUCCGUUAAUCUUUCUCCUAAUUAGACAUUCAAAACCCUGCAUGGAAUCGAUUUGAGAAGUUGGACAAUAGACAAACUCCAACACAUAUAGACAGUAAAGAAGAAUUUAGACCGCAAUCACUGUGGCUCAACAAAUGGGCCUAUUAAAGCCUAUUAAAAGUUGGAACCAUAUUCACCACUCGCAUUUCCUUAAGAGAGCUAUACCAGAAUUCUGUAAAUUUAAAACUUUUCUUACAUAAUUAACUGUAAAACAAGAGAAAUUGUACUUCCGUAGCAAAGUCUCACUAUUGGUAAGUAUCUGGACUUGGAAAGGAUGCUAGUUGAUGAAGUAAAGGAAAAUUGAAAUCAGACUUUGAGGUGACAGAUCUAUACACUUCAAUAGGAACCACAUUGACAUCAUAUGAGACAAAUAAACAUUCCCCAGUCAAAGUUUAACAAACAAAACAUUAAAACAAGAGUAGGUUGGUCUAUCAAUGUAUAUAUAGACAUGUCGAUCAAUAGACAAAUACGUAAAAGAGGGAGGGAGAGACCUCAAAGCCGUGCUACUCCAAUAACUUCAAAAUUGUUCGUGACCACUCUAUCAAAUCCACGCAAUAGUUGCAUACACUCACCGAUGGGUUUGUCACAGAUAACCUGUUAGGCAUUAAAAAUUGCCCAAAUUAAACAAAUGUUAGACCAGCUUAGACAGUAAACGGAACAAUAUUCUAAUUUUACUUUAUUUAUAACGAAUAAGUGAACAAAGGAAUAAAAAGGAAUUUUGGCAAAGAAUCCUGCAGCUAAUCCCACCAUACACCGCUCUGCAGGCUUAUUUGGGAGUCAAAAUUCUCAAAAUGUACUAAGAAAUGACAUUUGUUCACUAAUCCCACCAACAAGGAGGAAGUGACGUGAAGAGAAUUUACUAAGAAAUGCCAGUGUAUUAAUAUUGAAGGAAAACAUUCACUGACGACCAAAAUCGCUGAUAUAUGCUUAAUUUCUCACUCACUAAGAACGUUCAAUUCAUUCAAAUGAAACUUCCACAGGAAGGUCUCAUUAUUAAGGCUUUAGCUUCACCUCACAUGCUCAACAAUUCAAAUUUGAGGAUGAUAUUUCUCCAAAUGGAGGGCUCUAUUUGGCUUGCCAACAAUCUUCCUCACAACUAUCAUCCUUGCUAUAUCGGUUGCACUGAGCAAUCUUCAUUCUGACAUUUGCCCUAUUAACCUGAGUACACAAGAAUCCGAAACAACUGUUAGAAAUUUUAAUCUUUAUAUACAGCCAAAAUGGUGAAUAAGAUGAUGUACUGAUAAUAAAUACCUGAGUUAAUAAAUAAUUAAGGGGCCGGUAACAAUCUCAGCAUCUUAUCAAGUGGGGAAAGCCUUCGCAACGAAGAUGCUGCUUGCUUUCAAGCAAUAAUAACUUUCCAAUUCCAUAAGAUAGCUUAAUGCCCUUUUAAGAAUAUCUCCACCAGCCUAACAAUUAUUCAUGGAAAUCCAAUUUGCAUUUGUCGCCUUCAAUUUUCUCAUCUUUGUCUAGAGUAUUGUUUUUGCAUUAACUUAGCUAGCUUGCAAACCACCUGCAGAUGGUUUUAAAUAAUGUGUGAGAGUGUGAAUUCAAACGAAUUAAUUAAAUAUGAUGACAGGAGAAACAAAAUUAAAAUAACCACAAGAAGUAGAAAUAUACUUUUGUUAUAUUCAGAGCAUCUCCUACUGUCUUCAUUUCCCUUAGCUCUGUUUCCUUUUGAGCUCGAACGCAAUGCCUCAAGGCUCAAGAUAAUUUGAUGACCAUCAAUCUUUUUGCAGCCACAUGUAGACUUGAAAAACUGUUGGCGGCCCUAAAGAACUUGAAAAUUAGAAAAGAUUCAGAAUGAGUGACUAAAUAUUAUAAUCAAAACUAAUUAAACAAACGCGCCUUGAAAAUCUGAAACUGAAUUAAUCAAAUGUAUAUGCCCCUUCACUGCAAUUGCACGUGGUGGAAAUUUUACUGCGAAGACUUUCUCAAACCUUGAAGAUCACACUCGGCCUGACAACAAAGAAACAAAGUCAAUAUACGAAGAUGAUUUUACUAACAAGUGAGAGCUUACAAAUAUUUGAAGGAUAACGAUCACUCAUAACCCAUAUCCCCAGUAUUCCCUAAUAUUUCACUCAAGUGGGUUCAAGCUCCCAAAAUUCACUACAGUGAAAUGUCAAAACAAAACUCUCUUCUCAAAUUUGAUGAUGAUAUCUCUCGAAGGGAGGCAAAAGAAUCUAACACUGAUCAAAUUGGCUUGUGAACAAUUAAUCUUCCUCGCCAUCAUUCAUACCAGGUGCGGUGAACAAUCUUCAUUCUGACAUUUGCCUUAAUAAGCUGCUUAGUAACCUUAACCUGAUAACUCACACAAACAAAAACAACUUGCCUAAAGUUUAAUAUUUCGAGCAGAACAGUAAAGAAGAUGAUAUCUAUUGAUGCUAAAAUUUGACCUGUGUUACCCUGAUGUCAAAAGUCAUAGCAUCUCAUGUGGGCAAAAUCUUCGCAACACGAGAUGCUUGCAAAAUUGGAGCAGCAUCUUAUCACCUGUAAUUUAAUUGAGACAAUAACUUUCCCCAACCAUUUCAAUGCAUUAUUGGCAACUAAAUUCAGAGGGUGCUAAUUAAAUACCCUUUUAACAAUAUCUUCUUAUUCUUCUUCAAUCUAACAAUUAUUUGGAAAAUCUAAAUGACAAUCAUGCAUCGAUGGCAUGAAAAUUUGGCUACAAAGUAGCCUGGAAAAGGCUGCUCUCUGAAUGAGAGCAUGAAUUCAAACAAAUAUGAUGAAUGAAUAAAUAAAGGCAUAAUACCACAAGAAGUAAAACUUUUCCCCAGAUUUCUGUUUCUGUUUGUGCUAAAACCAAUGGAAACCGAUGGAAAUGAAUUUCUACGAAUUAGACAUAUCAGCCAAAACAGGUACUCCGUACAAGCAAAGUAAAAGAGGGUUACAAAAAAUUUUAAUAUUGAUAUGAUAAUUAAAAUUAUAAUGAAAAUUUCAGUUACCAUAUAAUUAAUAGAUAACUCUGUACACAAUGAUUUAUUGCAUAUUAAGAUUGUAUACCUGAAUUUUAAUUGCUAUACAAAAUAUGGUAGUAUCAUUAGGAGACCGCACCAAAUGUACCGAAUUGAAUGUGCCUUUUCACAGCCAUUGUACAAGCUUUGAAGCUUUACCACAAAUGCUUUCUCAAACCCGUGAUCAUGAUGCACCCGAGAGAUGCAAGAUAUGAAAUUGUUACUACAGCAGGCAAUAACCACAGUGUUAAAACAAAUGUUUAUACAGGAUAAAUGAUUCCAAGAAUGAAACAAGAUAGCAAUGAUGAUCUCAGCACCUUAACAUCACGCAAUAAUAAUCAUCAUGUCUUUCAAGCAGCUAUCCAUCCUCAAUUGAAACAGAGCAGAUCCGGCCAUCACUUCCUUCUUCAAAGUCCAGCAACCAAACGUUGCACAAUAACCACAGUGAUAAUCCUUGGUUACCCCAAUGUUCUCCAUAGAGUCUCCAAAGUCAAUCUAAAAAUGAAAUGCAGGUGGAAAUCAAAAUUCUAUUAACUAAAUAAAAUAUAAAGUGCAAUGCUUGUGCUUGAGCUUGCUUUAACAUCAUCAUAAUAGCGAAUUUUGAUACACCUUUACUUCUCUGUGGUUCAAUCAUUUACUUCCCUGUUCUUGUUUAUUCACAACAAGAUAUCAAUAGAAGAUGAUGGAAAUGAAAUUCUAUAAAAUAAAGCAAGUGAAUUACCAGUAGACCAUUUUAGCAAUCCUUUGGCUAAACUUUUCAUUUUCUUAGCACACUGUCCUGCAGUACUGCCUGCAUCAUUAAAACCAAAUUAGAUUGGACCUGUGAAUUGCUAGUGUGGUUCUGACAUUUCCUCGAAUCCCUGGUGAACAUAAUUAAACUCGUAUGAAAUAAAACAAAGUGGGCUAAUGUACUACUAAAAACAAUUACACAAUUACUUUAAAGAAUUAAUGUCACAUAAAUUAUAUAUAAAAAAAUACGAUUAUCAUUAUACAAGAUAAAAUUGAUAAUUUAGUUUUCGACAUUACUGCAAAUGUAUGAAGGAGAUUUUGUCACUCAGGAAGUUACACAUAACAAAUUUCCGUACAUUAAAAAAUAAAUUACAUUGGGAUUUUCUAUGAUGUUGUAUGAAAUUUUACAAAAAAGCACAUAUUUUUUAAAAGUAAAUAAAUAUAGAAAUUUCAACAGACUAAACUUGUAUUUUUUUUUUAUUUAAUCUUUAGAAAACAAGUUUAACAUAUUUGAUAACUAGGAAGUUUUACAUAUUUAUACCAUGAUUGAUUCUAUAUAGAAUUAUUAAAUAAUAAAGUAAUGCCAUAAUCUAAUUGGUCUUGUUAUUGACAUGUACUCACGCAUUCUAUAUUUCUAACUUUGUACAUUUUAUUGAUAUGUACAAAUUGUCAAUGUUUGCAGUGUCGUUGUUUGAAGUAACAACAAAGUAAAAUAGAGGUGAGAAAUUACCGGUGGGUGAUAGUAAUUGCAACCAUUCGAGAAUUUACCACUCGGACUCGAUGUAGGGAAUGUGAGAUAUCUUAUGCCAGUCUUCUCCUUCCCCCUCUCUAUAACGGUUUUCCAGAAGAGGACAUCUGUGAAUAAUCAAUUCCUGCAGCGUCGUCGUCCGAAGAAGGUAAUCCGGCAGCACCUUUAAUUUGGGGCAAUACCCAAUUUCCAAGGAAGAAAGACGUGGUAUGUCUGUUGUCUUGCGAUCUUCUAGAAUGGGCAGUUCUUCUAGAAGAUCACAAAAAUAAAUACGCAGUUCCUGCAGUGCCGUCGAUUGAAGAAGGUAAUCCGGCAGCGCCUUCAAUUUGGGGCAACCUCUAAUCCACAAGGAAGAAAGACGGGGCAUGAUGGAGAUGUUUUCCUUCCUCGUAAUCCUGUAAUUCCACUCUUCCAACUCUUCCAUUCCCCCAAUGUCGAGUGAUUUUAAUUUGGGAAAGGCAGUAACUGAUGAUGACGAUGAAGAUGAAGAUGGGUCAUCCUCACUGCUUUCUUCUAUUCCCAAAAACUCAUUACCCACUCUUUUUACACUUUUCAAAAUGUAUAGUUGGAGUUUUUCCAGAGGUAAUUUUCCCAAAGGAGGCAAAUGCUCACAGUUAAAACAAAACCAAAGAUUUAAUUCCCUUAGAUAGGUUAGUGAAGUCAACCAUUUGGGAAAAAUGUCGCCUCCGUAGAAACAAAUCUGUAAUUCCUCUACAUUCAAAUGCGGUUGUAAAGCUUCAAGAAGUUGUUUAUCUUUCUCAUUCUUCCUCCUCCCUUCUUCGCCUUCCCCAUCUACGACUCCAUCAAACACAAGAUGCAAACGAAGGAGGUUUUCCAUAUUGUGAAGUCCUAUUCUCUCAGCCUCAUCUAAAUGUGAUACAUUACUCAGCCCUUCUAUUCCACAUUUACGAAGGAGUUGAAGAUUUUUCAGAGAUUCAAGCCUACACGUGCUGCCGCCAUCAACACCUCCACCCACAACAAACUUUUCUAAUGUUCGAAGACUGGUUAAUUUGGAAAUCCCUAUUGGCAUGUACUUCAAUGAAUAAGUUUGACCAUUCAGUAAACUCCUCAUGUUCAUUAACUUCCCAAUCCCCGCUGGCAAUUCUCUAAGAUUUGGGCACCGCCUAAUAUCUAGCUUUCGUAAAUUAUAUAAUUCACACAAAGUCUCAGGCAGUCUCUCUAUACAUAAUUCAGAUAAAUUAAGAUAUUUUAAAUGUAUCAAUUUUCCAAUAUUUUCUGGAAUUUCUCUAAUGAAAUUUGGGCUAGGAUGAGAAAAUGAGGACAACUGUCUUAUAACUAAUGCCCUUAAACACGCCAAUUUACUAAAUAACCCCGGAAGGAUGCUACUACGAAGAGACGGACCUUUAUCAUAAAUUAAGAGGGUCCGCAAUCUAUUAAGUCCAUAAAUGGACAUAGGAAGUGGAGCGCCUCCUUCAAAAUUUAAUCCUAGGUGACAGACUUUGUCACCAAAAGAAUUUAUGACUGACUCUUUGUUACCAUCAAUUUCUAGCCACAAACAUUCUUUUCUACUUACAAAUUGGGCAAAAUCAUGUACUAUGUCAUGCAUUUUACACCUCAUAAACUCAUUAUCGCCACCGUAUGUUUCAAACUCUUGAAAGAAAGAGUGUGUUGCUAAGAUGUUGAAAUACUCUUCUCCAACCAUCUCCAUUUCUUCGUCUUCUUCUGCAUUAAGGUAACCUUGAGCCAUCCACAUAUCAAUCAAUUCCUUUUUAUGCAUAUAGUGGUCUUUUGGAAAGACAGCACAAUAUGAGAAACAUUGUUUUACCAUAGAAUUAGAGGGCAAAUCGUUAUAACUCAACAACAAAGGAGCCAAAAGACCUUUCCUAAUCUCUUCUACCUUCCACAUUUCACUCUCUAAAAUUCUUUGCCACUCUUUUACUGUACAUUUAGAGCGCAAGAGAUUCCCUAUUACCUUUACAGCAAGAGGCAGGCCUUUGCACUUGCGUGCAAUUUUUCGUCCGAUUGGUUCUAAUUUUUCACAAUCCUCGAAAGAGCGACCGAAAAAUGCCAACCGCUUGAACAACAACCAGCAUUCCUCUUCAGCUAGUUGUUCAAUGGAGAUAAUAUCUAACUCUAUUGUUCGCAUCAUACGUGCAACUGACUCAUUACGUGUGGUAACCACAAUUUUACUUCCAGGAAGACCAUUCUUUAGACAAAAGAAGAAUUGAUCCCAUAUAUUAUAAUUCCCAUCCCAUACAUCAUCUAAGACAAUAAAAAUUUUUUUUCCUUCAAUUGAUCUAUGGAUAUGGCUCAUAAGAGAUUGGAAUUCGCUUAAACCAGAAGCUUCUUUUGACUCGCCUAGUCCUUCAAUAAUUGCUUUGGCGACCCUCAUCUCAUCAAAAGUGUCUGAUACACACACCCAUAUAACUUUUUCAAAAUUUAUUUUCACCCCAUCAUUAUUAUAGGCUAGUUGUGCAAGAGUGGUUUUACCUAUACCCCCUAACCCAACCAGUGAGAUGAUAUGAGGAUGUUGUUCGCCACUCUCACCCAACAACUUACCUAACAGCUCAUUUUUCUCGUCAUCUCUACCAAAAAUCUCUCCCUCAUCAAUCAAGGAGGUGGUUGGCACUCGCUCUGAUUUCUUAACAUUGUUACUCACAUUCUCAACAAAUUUAAACAUAUCUUUUCGAGUGGCAAUACCAUCUAGCUUUUCACUGAUUUCGCUAAUCUUGACAGCAACAUCAUCACGAAGAAUGAGUUGUUUGAAACCACCUAAGUAGUUUGAGGCAGCACGAAAGAAGGAACAUACCUUCUUCUUAGGAGGAGCAAGAGCAAGAGCAUCGUCAUCAUCGCCGCCCUCAUCAAGCUGCAAUUUCCGUGUUUCAGUGAUCCACUCUUCCAACACAUCUUCCAUGUCGUAGGAUGCGUCUCUGAGCUGAUCCAGCCAAAGAGUAACAGCUUUGUCCUGCUUCAUUUGCCUCUGCUCUGCAUCUUACAGUACAGCUUGAAUGACUUGAAGAUUGGUAGUAAGCUUUCCCACUUCUUGUUCGACACCCGUCACAAGCCUCCACUUUUCUUUCACCUGAUCUUGAGCAAUGGAUUUCAGCUGGUCCAGGAGAGAGGAAACGAUCGCAUGAGCCAUUCAGAGGAAAGUAGGUUUUAUGUAUUCUGUGAGAAUGUUCAUUCAAGCAUGUUUGCAUUCUUCUUAUACCAUAUGAGAUAUUUAAUUUUUACCCUCGAGUCAAUGUCAAUAAUUGUACAGCGUCUGCCCUGUUUCUCUGAUUCAUAAUAAUUCAUUGUUAAUUCUGCAGAGUACACAGCGUCAGCACUUGUGAAAUUUCUUACAUUUGUAAAAUCAUGCAGCCGACCCUUGUGAACUAACUAAUUAACUAAAUUUUCUUACAUUGUCAAUAAGUUAUGAUUAUUGUGAAUUUUCCAUCCCCUAUAUAAAUUCUUAGAUUUAUUUAAAUUGUGAGUCAUAGAAGUAUAUUACCUAAAUUAUUUUAUCAGGCCAUGUUCCGAUACUAGGAGUAAGUACGGAAUUGGACUAAUUUUGUGAUUAUCUAUUUAUCUCAUAUUUGAUAAGCUUAAUUGAAUUGGAUUUAGGAACCAAAUUUAAAUUUAAUCCUAAAAUUAUGGAAUUGAUAAUCCUAAUUUACGCAUAACUUUAGUUGGGAUAAAAUUAAAGAAAAAAAGUUAUCCAUUUAUGAGACUUUAAUUUAUAUCAUUAUCGUUUAUUUAUGCUUAAUAUUUAUUUAUUUUUUUUAAUUUAUGAUUUACUUAAAAUUUAUUUUUAUUUAUUAUCUAUCAUCUGAUUAAAUUAGAACUUUACUUCUACUAACUCUUGAUAUUAAUUUUUCAUUACUUGCAUAUUUGAUAAUUUGUCAAUAAAAUUAACCAUUUAAUAAUUUAUUGCAUAAUAGAUUGUAUUAAACUUACUAAUCACUAAAAAAAUAUUUAAAAUCAUCAUGAAAAUUAAUAAUACCGUCAAUUAAUUGAUUUUAUAUACUUUUUUAAAUAUUUGAUAAAAAAUAAUUAAGUAUUUAAAUUUUUAUUUCAUUUUUUUAUUUGUUUAUUUUAUUAUGGAUACCCAAUAACUUGCAAUAUAAUUAAUUUUCUUAUUCAGACUACUCAGCAUCAGCUCCUAUAAAAUUUCUUACAUUAUAAGCAACAAAAUAUUUAUAAACUACAACAAAGGGCUUAAAUCAAUCCACCGAUUAACCUUUUGAAGUUAUAUAUAAUAUAUUAACUGUUGAUCUAGAAUAGUCUUAGUGGAUAGAUUUUUUUUAAUUAUAAAUAUCAAUAAAUUUUUUUUAUCGUUUAAUAGAUAUUGAUGAAAUUAUAUGGAGUAAUUUCGCCCAAUCAUAUAUAUUAUAACAAAAGUUGGAAAAGAGAAAAAUAAAACAAAAGUUGGAAAAAUCAUGCAGUCGUUGGGAAUUUCGAAAUUUGAGAAUUUUGCCCGUAGCUACAGGCUGCAGCGAUUUUUGACUUUCAUGAUGCAAACAAACCAAUCAUCAUUAAUUUCAAUAGAAAGAAGUAUUCUAGGUGGAAUUGAUUUCUGGAGCAGAAUAUGAUGUAUUUGGGACUUCCUACUCUAUUAGAUAGGUUAAUAACAUGUUAAUUGUCACAUCAUUAAUUUUAGAUUAUAAAUUUUAUAUUCAAACUUUGUAUGACUGCUCCUUUUUCAUUUGAAAAAAAAAAAAAAAAUUAACUUCUAGCAUGAUCUAAUUAAUUGAUCUUGUUUCAAAAGAAUCAAAAAAAUAAAUAAAAUAAAAUAAAGUAAUGCCAUAAUCUAAUUGGUCUUGUUAUUGACAUGUACUAAUGCAUUCUAUAUUUCUAACUUUGUACAUUUUAUUGAUAUGUUUCUCUUGAGAGAUAAGAAUCAUUAUGUGGCAAAAUUUUAUUAAAGCUGGGAUUAUUUAUGUUCUAAUACUUUGAACAUUAAUUUUUAAUCUACUCUUUAGAAUACAAAAAUAAUCCUUACCUAAACAUCUUUCAUAAAUGUUUUUUGCUGGGGCUGCUAAAAUUCAUAAUCUAAUAUUAGUUGAUGUGGCAUGUGUCCUAUCACAUAAAUGUAGAUAAUAAUAAUUAAUUCAUUAACAAAAUGAAAAAUGUUAGUUUACAAAAUACAAAUCCGAAUUUUUUGUGUGUUAGAGGGAAUUUAAAAGGGAGAGACUAAACAAAUGUGGUGACAAAUUACACGUAUUACCAAAAUUGAAAAUACAAAGUUUAGGCAACUGGAAACAUCUCUGUCAAUGGCAAUGAACCCAUUACCUCCAUUUAUAAUUAACCAAAAAUCAAAUAAAUUAAAAAAGAAAACACAAAGCAAGGAUAACUACUAGUUGUUUUGAUCAUCCCUGCUUCUUUUUCUUAGCAUAGCUCUUGUAAUGAAAAUUAACAAAAAGGGCCAAAAGGGAAGCAUUAAACACAGUAUUGAAGCACCAACCCCAAAACACAGGGAAACCAAAUCCCGUGAAAUGAUAAUUCAGCAUCAAAAUGAAAAAUGUUAUGGAUGGCUGUGAUGGGUCUGAGGAUGUGGGGUCCAAUGAGAGGUGAUGAUGAUGGUGAUGUUGAUGUUGAUGUGUGGUAGAGGAUGGAUGUGAGGGAGAGGUAAGUAAUGAUGGAGUGAAUGAGGAUGCGUGGGAAGGAAGCUAGGGUUUGGUUUUGAGUCCAUGUGAAGUUGAGGACUUGUGGGUGGCUUACAAGCAAUAUUGGAGUGUUAAGCUGAUUGAAUUUGAACAGUGCUACUCCAAUAACAUCAAUAUGGUUGAUGACCGCUCUAUCAAAUCCUUUGGAUAAAUGAAUUGACCGCUCUAAAAUAAAUGAAUGAGAUAGGAUAAAUUCGAAUAAAUUAAUCUGCAUAAUGACACAAGAAACAAAUAUAAAUUGACCGCAAGUAGAAAUAUACUUUUGUUAUAUUUAGAGCAUCUUCCAAUUUCUUUCCCUUGAGCUCUGUUUCUGCGAGUGCUCAAAAGCAAGACACAGGCCUCAAGAUAUAAUUAUCAUCAUCAAUCUUUUGCAGCCACAUGCAGUACUUGGAAAAUGUUUAUGGCCCUAAAUAACUGGAAAAUCAGAAAACAUUAAGAACAAGAGACUAAUCAUUUUAAUCGCAACAAAACAUGCACACUAUGAAAAUAUAAAAUUGAAUUACUUCGAAUGGAUGUGCCUCUUAACAGGAAUUGCACAAGCUAAUGAGCAAGUGAGCCUUCGAAUGAAAAUCUAAAUCCUUGCAGCCUGCGUCAUGCAGCUUCUCCCAAUGAGUAAGUGAACCUUGAACAGUUAUCACUCAGCUCAAACUAAAAUGAAAUUACUGUGGACAUGUGAAUUAAAAAUAGAUGUAAAAGUAGUUUUCUCAAAGCAAAGUCAAGAUAAGAGAUUAACUCUACUCCUUAUUUACAUUAAAAAUAACGAACAAUGGAAAACAGAGCUAGAGAAGAACUUACCUGUGCGUUGAGAUCAUGUGGGGAAUGUGAGAUAUCUUCUUAGAUUUGGUUUGGGAAACUCCAUCUUCUUCUGAAAGUUCUGACAGUUCCCUAAACCCAGGCCAAUACAAUUGCAACAGAAACUGCAUGCUUUAACCAGUAUCUGAUCAUCUCCUGUUAUUUCAAGACAAUAAUAACUUAAUUGCAACACUGCAUGCUUCAACCAAUAACCUUUUCGACUUCAACACUUCUUUUGUCCCCCACCCGAUGCCCUUUUCACAAUUCUAUGAAUCAGAUAAAUCAGCCUUCUUCACAAAACUAAAAUUUCGGUCCCCAUGUAGCAGAGUUUCUUAUUUUUCCUUUGUACACAAAUGCAGACACUUAAGCAAAUUAAGAUUUCUUACCUAAAGCAAAUUAGGAUUUCUUUUGAUCCUGCAAGUUACAAUUUCAGUCCCCAUGUAAUAGUAAAAAUUUGUACACAUAUUUAUAUAGCAAAUUAAUAUUUCAUACCUCACAAUAUUUAUCAUAACCAUCAAUCUUUAGAAACCACAUGCAGACUUGUUAAACUGUUUAUGGCCCAAAAUAACAGGAAAAUUAGAACAGAUUUUUAAGAAUGAGCGACUAAAUAUUUCAAUGGCAACUAAAAUUACACAUCUUGGAAAUCUGAAACUCAAGUACUCAGAACACUGUAAGUGCAUUGCAUAAUCUUGGGUAAAAAAUACACAGCAAUUAAACAAGCUGGGAACUUUAGUGCAAAUGCUUUUUCAUAAUCUUCAAUUGCAUAAGUCAGUUAGAAUCAAUCUUUCUUAAUCUUUCAAUUCACAUAUGAGAGCCUGAUAACACAAGGAAACACUGUAAGUGAAUUGUCAACUGUGACAAAUUUUGGGUAAAAAUUAUCAACUGUAGUUAUCUGCAUAACAUUUAGUGUCAACCCCAAAUUCCUUCCUGAUCCGUGGAAGCAUUUCAGCCCACAGACGGUUAGCUUUGUCAAUAUACGGCAACUCAGGAUUCUAUAUUUAAACUAUGAUGUUUGAUGACUUGCUGAUACAAAAGACAUUGCCCCAAGCACUUUUUUACAUUAGCUAAAAUCAAGCCAGUCACUUCCAUUUGUUGCAGUUUUAAUGCAGAAAGAAAAAAGGGGGAAAAAAAUCUGCAAGAUGCCACUUGUAAUACCGCAUGUUCGCAGGAGCAGAGUUAAAUAAUUACAAAAUUACAUUCUUUAUUGGCCACAAAGCUGCCUAGAAAAAGGCUUUAAAUUCUUAAUGAGACAACGUAUUCGAACAAAUAUGGUGAAUGAAGAGACAAAGGCAUAACACCUCGGGAAGUAAAGCUCUGUUUCUGUAUGUGCUCAAACCAAUGGAAACCCAUGGAAAUGAAUUUCUACGAAUUAGACAUGUCAGCCAAAACAGGUACUCUGUACAAGCAAAGUAAAAGAGAGUUACAAAAAAUUUUAAGAUAAUUAAACUUUUAGUCACCAUAUAAUUAAUAGAAAACUUUGUACACAAUGAUUUAUAUGAGAUUAAGAUUGUAUACCUAAGUUUUAAUUGCAAACUAAAUAUACACAACAUGAUAUUAGCAUUAGAAGACUGCACCAAAACGCACCGAAUUGAAUGUACCUCUUAACGGCCAUUGUACAUGCAUUGAAAGUUUACCGCAAAAGCUGUUUCAAACGUGAUGCAUCUUAGAGAUGCAAGAUGAGAAAUUGUUAUUACAACUAGCAUUGAAACAUGUGUGAAAACUGUUAAUGGACCUAAAUAACUUGAAAAUCAGAAAAGAUUAGGAAUGAGUGACUAAGCCUGCUAAUCGCAACUAAACGUGCAAACCUUGAAAAUCCAAAAUUGUACUCGAUGAAUGUGCAAUUGCUCAAGCAGGUAAAUUUCCUGCAAAGGCUCUUACAAACCCUCAAAGAUGAUACUCUACAUACCAUGGUAACCUGAGUAACAAAAAGAAACACAGUGAAUAUUAAAGGGCAUUCUGACAAUGCAAAUUUGUGUAAAUUAACAACUGCGGUUACCUGCAUAAUAGUGUCAAUACCGAAUUCCUUCCUCCAUGGAAGCAUGUGAUCAGCCCACAUGUGCUUUGCUCUGUAGCUUUUGAAUACCUGAAAUUGUUAUCACAACCAACGGUGAAAAAUGGGUGAAAAAAGGGUAAUAGUAGCAUAAUUGAAUUUGCUUAUAGAGGAUAAACCGAUCAAAGAAAAAAACAAGACAGAAAUGAUGAUCUUAGUACCUUAAUAUCAUGCAAUAAUAAUCAUCAUGCCUUCUAGGCAGCUAUCCAUCCUCAAUUGAAACAGAGCAGACCUGGCCAUCACUUUCUUCUUCAAAGUCCAGCAACUGAACGUUGCACACAACACCACAGUGGAAGUUCCAUCACCAGCCUAAUCCUUGAUUACCCCAAUGUUCUCCAUAGGGUCUUCAAAGUCAACCUAAAAAUAAAAUGAAAAUGCAAUGCAUUAUUAUUAGGGAUCUAGUGCUUGAGCUUGCUUUGACAUCAUGGUAUUAGCAAAUUCUGAUAUAGCCAAAAUGGUGAAUAAGAUGACGUACUUGAUAAGAAAAACCUGAUUUAACAAAUAAUUAAGGAGCCGGUAACAAUCACAGAAUCUCAUCAUGUGGGGAACGCCUUGGCAACAGAAGAUGGUGCUUUCAUUCAAGCAAUAGCAACUUUCCAAUUUCAUAAGGUAGUUUAAUGGCCCUUUUAAGAACAUCUGCACCAGCCUAAUAAUUAUUCAUGGAAAUUAAUAAUCAGAAUCAUGUUAGAUUGAGAGAUGAAACAUAAUAAGCGAUUUGGCCACCAUAUAUGCAUUUAUCACCUUCAAUUUGCUCAUCUUUGUCUAGAGUAUUGCUUCUGCAUUAACUUAAUUAGCUUGCAAGCCACCUGAACAUGGUUUUAAAUAAAGUGUAAGAGCUCGAAUUCGAACGAAUUAAUCAAAUAUGCUGACAGGAGAAACAAAAGUAAAUAACCACAAGAAGUAGAAAUAUACUUUUGUUAUAUUCAGAGCAUCUUCUUGCGUCAAGUUCUUUUCCUUUAGCUCUGUUUCUGUUUGUGCUCAAACGCAAUGGCUCAAGGGCCAAGAUAAUUUUAUGACCAUCAAUCUUUUUGCAGCCACAGCAGACUUGAAAAAAUGAUUGUGGCCCUAAGGAACUUGAAAAUUAGAAAAGAUUCAGAAUGAGUGACUAAAUAUUAUAAUUGAAACUAACUAAACAUUAUAAUCGAAACUAAUUAAACGCCUAGAAAAUCUGAAACUGAGCAAUUGCUUCUGGUGGAAACUUUACUGCAAGGACUUUCUCAAACCCUUGAAGAUCACACUCUACCUGAUAACAAAGAAACAGUCAAUAUACGAAGAUGAUUUUACUAACAAGUGAGUGCUUACACAUAUUGGAAGGAUAAUGAUGAUUCAUAACCCAAAUCCCCAAUACUCCCUAUUAUCUCACUCAAGUUCGAGCUCCCAGAAUUCACUACUGUGAAGCUCUCACAACAAAAUUCCCUUCAAAGAUUCUCUACUCAAAUUUGAUGAUGAUGUCCCUCCAAAGGAGGCAAAAAAUCUAACACUGAUCAAAUUGGUUUGUGAACAAUUAAUCUUCCUGGCCAUCAUGCAUACCAGGUGUGGUGAGCAAUCUUCAUUAUGACAUUUGCCUUAAUAAGCAGCUUAGUUUCCUUAACCUGAUAACUUACACAAACAAAAACAACUUGAUUAAAGUUUAAUAUUUAGAGGCAGAACAGUAAAGAAGAUGAUAUAUAUUGAUACUAAAAUUUGACCUGUGUUAUCCUGACGUCAAGAAUCACAGCAUCUCAUGUGGGCAGAAUCUUCGCAGUACAAUAUGCUUGCAAAAUUGAAGCAGCAUCUUAUCACCUGUAAUUUAAUUAAGACAAUAACUUUCCCCAACCAUUUCAAUGCAUUAUUGCCAACUAAAUUCAGAGGGUGCUAAUUAAAUAGCCUUUGAACAAUAUAUUCUUAUUCUUCUCCAAUCUAACAAUUAUUUCGAAAAUCUAAAUGACAAUCACGCAUCGAUGGCAUCAAAAUUUGGCUACAAAGCAGCCUGGAAAAGGCUUUACUCUCUGAAUGAGAGCAUGAAUUCGAAACAAAUAUGAUGAAUGAAGAAAAUAAGGCAUAAUACCACCAAAAGUAAAACUUUCUCCCAGGGCUCUAUGUUUCUGUUUGUGCUAAAACCAAUAGAAACCGAUGGAAAUGAAUUUCUAGGAAUUAGACAUAUCAGCGAAAACAGGUAUUCUGUACAAGCAAAGUAAAAUAGGGUUACCAAAAUUUUUAAGAUUGAUAUGAUACUUGAAAAAUAGGUUUGCACAGAAUUAAUUAUUCUGUCAUUGAGAUUGUUCUUUUAUAGAGAUUUCCAGCGCACAUAAAACUAUUAAAUCAGUAAACUAAAUCACUGAUUUAAGGAAAGAAUAAUUUCUAGGUAGAUUUUCCUAAAAUACAUAGAUUUGCACCUAAAUAGCUAUGUUACAGCUAAUGACUAAUUUACAGCACAUAUUUUUUCUAAUUUUCUAACACUCCCCCUCGAGCUGGUUUGAAGAUAUCCUCCAUAGCCAGCUUGCCAACUAGAAAAUUGAACUGUUUUGUGUGUAGUCCUUUGGUAAAGACAUCAGCCACUUGUUCUCCAGUAGGAAUGUGCUCCAUAUGAACCAAUCCAUUAUCUAUCUUCUCCUUGAUGAAAUGCUUGUCAAUCUCCACAUGUUUUGUGCGGUCAUGAAGGACUGGAUUGUGUGCUAUUGAGAUUGCUGCCUUGUUGUCACAGUACAACUACAUAGGAGAUGAUUUUGUCGCUUUUAACUCUUCCAACAGCCUCCUAAUCCACAUGAUCUCACAAAUGCCAUGGGUUACAGCUCUAAAUUCAGCCUCAGCACUGCUCCUAGCUACCACAUUCUGUUUCUUGCUUCUCCAAGUAACCAAAUUACCACCUACAAAUGAACAGUAUCCAGAAGUGGAUCUUCGGUCUACUUUGCAGGUAAAUUUACUGCAAAGGCUCUUACAAGCCCUCAAAGAUGAUAUUCUACAUACCAUGGUAACCUGACUAACAAAAAGAAACACAGUGAAUAUUAAAGGGCAUUCUGACAAUGCAAAUUUGUGCAAAUUAACAACUGCGGUUACCUGCAUAAUAGUGUCAAUACCGAGUUCCUUCCUCCAUGGAAGCAUAUGAUCAGCCCACAUGUGCUUUGCUCUGUAGCUUUUGAGUACCUGAAAUUGUUAUUACAACCAGCGGUGAAAAUUGGGUGAAAAAAUGGUAAUAUUAGCAUAAUUGAAUUUGCUUAUAGAGGAUAAACCGAUCAAAGAAAACGACAAGAUAGAAAUGAUUAUCUUAGUACCUUAAUAUCAUGCAAUAAAAAUCAUCAUGCCUUCCAGGCAGCUAUCCAUCCUCAAUUGAAACAGAGCAGACCUGGCCAUCACUUUCUUCUUCAAAGUCCAGCAACUGAACGUUGCACACAACACCACAGUGGAAGUAGUUCCAUCACCAGCCUAAUCCUUGAUUACCCCAAUGUUCUCCAUAGGGUCUUCAAAGUCAACCUAAAAAUAAAAUGAAAAUGCAAUGCAUUAUUAUUAGGGAUCUAGUGCUUGAGCUUGCUUUGACAUCAUGGUAUUAGCAAAUUCUGAUAUAGCCAAAAUGGUGAAUAAGAUGAUGUACUUGAUAAGAAAAACCUGAUUUAACAAAUAAUUAAGAAGCCGGUAACAAUCACAUAAUCUCAUCAUGUGGGGAAUGCCUUGGCAACAGAAGAUGGUGCUUUCAUUCAAGCAAUAGCAACUUUCCAAUUUCAUAAGGUAGUUUAAUGGCCCUUUUAAGAACAUCUGUACCAGCCUAACAAUUAUUCAUGGAAAUUAAAAUUCAGAAUCAUAUUAGAUUGAGAGAUGAAAUAUAAUAAGCGAUUUGGCCACCAUAUAUGCAUUUAUCACCUUCAAUUUGCUCAUCUUUGUCUGGAGUAUUGCUUCUGCAUUAACUUAAUUAGCUUGCAAGCCACCUACAAAUGGUUUUAAAUAAUGUGUGAGAGUGUGAAUUCGAACGAAUUAAUCAAAUAUGCUGACAGGAGAAACAAAAGUAAAUAACCACAAGAAGUAGAAAUAUACUUUUGUUAUAUUCAGAGCAUCUUCUUGCGUCAAGUUCUUUUCCUUUAGCUCUGUUUCUGUUUGUGCUCAAACGGAAUGGCUCAAGGGUCAAGAUAAUUUUAUGACCAUCAAUCUUUUUGCAGCCACAUGCAGACUUGAAAAACUGGUCGUGGCACUAAGGAACUUGAAAAUUAGAAAAGAUUCAGAAUGAGUGACUAAAUAUUAUAAUCGAAACUAAUUAAACAUACACGCCUAGAAAAUCUGAAACUGAACUUCUCAAAUGUAUAUGCCUCUUCGCAGCAAUUGCUUGUGGUGGAAACUUUACCGCAAGGACUUUCUCAAACCCUUGAAGAUCACACUCUACCUGAUAACAAAGAAACAUAGUCAAUAUACGAAGAUGAUUUUACUAACAAGUGAGUGCUUACACAUAUUGGAAGGAUAAUGAUUACUCAUAACCCAAAUCCCCAACACUCCCUAAUAUCUCACUCAAGUGAGUACGAGCUCCCAGAAUUCACUACUGUGAAACUCUUACAACAAAAUUCCCUUUAAAGAUUCUCUACUCAAAUUUGAUGAUGAUGUCCCUCGAAAGGAGGCAAAAAAUCUAACACUGAUCAAAUUGGCUUGUGAACAAUUAAUCUUCCUGGCGAUCAUGCAUACCAGGUGUGGUGAGCAAUCUUCAUUCUGACAUUUGCCUUAAUAAGCGGCUUAGUAUCCUUAACCUGAUAACUUACACAAACAAAAACAACUUGAUUAAAGUAUAAUAUUUAGAGGCAGAACAGUAAAGAAGAUGAUAUAUAUUGGUACUAAAAUUUGACCUGUGUUAUCCUGACGUCAAGAAUCACAGCAUCUCAUGUGGGCAGAAUAUUCGCAGUACAAGAUGCUUGCAAAAUUGAAGCAGCAUCUUAUCACCUGUAAUUUAAUUAAGACAAUAACUUUCCCCAACCAUUUCAAUGCAUUAUUGGCAACUAAAUUCAGAGGGUGCUAAUUAAAUAGCCUUUGAACAAUAUAUUCUAAUUCUUCUCCAAUCUAACAAUUAUUUGGAAAAUCUGAAUGACAAUCAUGCAUCGACGACAUCAAAAUUUGGCUACAAAGCAGCCUGGAAAAGGCUUUACUCUCUGAAUGAGAGCAUGAAUUCGAAACAAAUAUCAUGAAUGAAGAAACAAAGGCAUAAUACCACAAAAAGUAAAACUUUUCCCAGGGCUAUCUGUUUCUGUUUGAACUAAAACCAAUGGAAACCGAUGGAAAUGAAUUUCUAGGAAUUAGACAUAUCAGCCAAAACAGGUACUCUGUACAAGCAAAGUAAAAUAGGGUUACAAAAAAUUUUAAGAUUGAUAUGAUAAUUAAAAUUUCAGUCACCAUAUAAUUAAUAGAAAACUUUGGACACAAUGAUUUAUUGCAUAUUAAGAUUGCUAUAUAAAAUAUAAUAUUAGCAUUAGGAGACCGCACCGAAGCAUACCGAAUUGAAUGUGCCUUUUCACAGCCAUUUUACAAGCUUUGAAGCUUCACCACAAAUGCUUUUUCCAACCCGUGAACAUGGUGCACCCGAGAGAUGCAAGCUAUGAAAUUGUUACUACAGCAAGCGUUGGAACAUUUGUUAAAAAAGGAAGUUUAUGAAAAUACGCCUUUGGAUACCAGUCUUCAGGAAUCAAUUCAUCCGUAAUAACAAUUUUCAAGAAUUAUCAACUGCUUUAAGCUCAUCGACAUCACAAAGAUCUCAACUAAAAUAGAGCAGAUCCGGCCAUCACUAUCCCUUCUACUGCUCUUUUCCUUUAGAGAAUGAUUGAAUUACAGAAUGCGUGUAAGGCAUUCUUAUUCAAGGUCCAAUGAUCAAACCUUGCACUAUAACAACAGAGGUAGUAGUUUCUUCGCCAGCCUAAUCCUUGGUCUCAGGAAUGUCCUCAACAGAGUACUCGAAAUCAACCUAAAAAUUAAGAAUGAGUUGGAAAACUGUUUAUGGCCCUAAAGAACUUGAAAAUAAGAAAAGAUUAAGAAUGAGUGACUAAACAUUUAAUCGCAACUAAACAUACAAACCUUGAAAAUCUAACUUUGAAGUACUCUUGAAUGAAUGAGCAGUUGCACGAGCUGGUGACAACUAAGGUUACUGUGAAGUCUCUUACAAAUCCUUAAAGAUGAUACUUUACAUACCACGAUAACCUGAUAACACAUAGGAACACAAUAAACAUUAAAGUGUAUUCUGACAAUGCAAAUUUGUGGAAAUCAUCAGCUGUGGUUACCUGGACAAUAUUGCCAACACCAAACUCCUUCCUCAAUUGAAACAUAUGAUCAGCCCACAAAUGCUUUGCUUUGUAGCUUUUGAGAGCCUGAAAUUGUUAUCACAACCAACAAUGAAAAUUGGGUGAAAAAAUUGAUAAUAUUAGCUUAAUUCCAUAUGUUUAUAUAGGAUAAACCGAUCAAAGAAUGAAAAAAGAUAGAAACAGAGCAGACCCAGCCAUCACUUUCUUCUUCAAAGUCGCACCAUAACCACAGUGGUAGUCGUUCCACUGCCAGCCUAAUCCUUGGUCACCCCAAUGUUCUCCAUGAAGUAUUCAAAGUCAACCUAAAAAUAAAUAAAAAUGCAAUGCAGGUGGAAAUGAAAAUUCUAUAAAUUAAAUAAAAUAAAAAUGCAAUGCUUGAGCUUGAGCUUGCUUUAGCAUCAUCGUAAUAGUAAAUUUUGAUAUAUCUUUACUUCUCUGUUCUUGUUUAUUCACAACAAGAUAUCAAUAGAAGAAGAUGGAAAUGAAAUUCUAUAAAAUAAAGCAAGUGAAUUACCAACAGAACAUUUUAGCAAUCCUUUGGCUAAACUUUUCAUUUUCUUAGCAUACUCUCCUGCCUGGUGAACAUAAUUAAACAAGUAUGAAAUAAAACAAAGUGGGCUAAUGUAGUAAAAACAAUAACACAAUUACUUUAAAGAAUUAAUGUCACGUAUAUUAUAUAUAAAAAAAUACGAUUAUCAUUAUAUAAGAUAAAAUUGAUAAUUUAGUUUUCAACAUUACUGCAAACGUAUCACAGAGAUUUUGUUACACAUAACAAAUUUUCGUACAUAUGAAAAUAAAUUACAUUGCAUGAAAUUUUACAAAAGAGCACAUAUUUUUUAAAAGUAAAUAAAUAUAGAAAUUUCAACAGACUACACUUGUAUUUUUUUUUAAUUAUUUAAUCUUUAGAAAACAAGUUUAACAGAUUUGAUAACUAGGAAGUUUUACGUAUUUAUACCAUGAUUGAUUCUAUAUAGAAUUUUAAUUCAAAAUAUAAUUAUUUUUAUUAAUUUCAUUGCAAGCAACAACGAAGUAAAUUAGAGGAGGAGGAGAAAUUACCGGCGAGUGAUAAAUUACCGCGACCACUUGAUGUGGGGAAUGCGAGAUAUCUUAUGCCAGUCUUCUCCUUUCCCCUCUCUAUAACGGUUUUCCAGAAGAGGACAUCUGUCAAUAGUCAAUUCCUGCAGCGUCGUCGUCCGAAGAAGGUAAUCCGGCAGCACCUUUAAUUUGGGGCAAUACUCAAUUACCAAGGAAGAAAGACGUGGUAUGUCUGUUGUCCUGUGAUCUUCUAGAAUGGGCAGUUCUUCCAUAUUUGCACAAAAAGAAAUCCUCAGUUUCUGCAGUGCCGUCGUUCGAAGAAGGUAAUCCGGCAGCGCCUUCAAUUUGUUGCAAGAACGAACUUCCAAGGAAGAAAGACGGGGCAUGAUAGAGAUGUUUUCCUUCCUCGUAAUCCUGUAAUUCCACUCUUCCAAUUCUUCCAUGUCCCAAAUUAUGAGUGAUUUCAAUUUGGGGAAGGCAGUAACUGAUGAUGAUGAUGAAGAUGAAGACGGGCCAUCCUCACUGCUUUCUUCUAUUCCCAAAAACUCAUUACCCACUCUUUUUACACUUUUCAAGUACCAUAGUUCGAGUUUUUCCAGAGGCAAUUUUCCCAAAGGAGGCAAAUGCUCACACUUAAGGCACGAGCGAAGAUAUAAAUUCCUUAGAUUGGUCAGUGAAGUCAACCAUUUGGGAAAAAUGUUGCGUCCAUAUAAUAUAAUCCCUAAUUUCUCUACACUCAAAGGCGGUUGUAAGGCUUUAAGAAGUUGUUCAUCUUUCUCUUUCUUCCUCCUCCUUUCUUCAUCUUCCCCAUCUACGACUCUACCAAACUCAAGACGCAAACGAAGGAGGUUUUGCUGAUUGUAAAGUUGUAAUCUCUCGACCUCAUCUAAACGGGACACAUUACCCAGCCCUUCAAUUCCACAUUCUCGAAGGAGUUGAAGAUUUUUCAGAGAUUCAAGCCUACAAGUAUUGCUACCAUCAACACCUCCACCCACCACAAACUUGUCUAAUGUUCGAAGACUGGUUAAUUUGGAAAUCCCUACUGGCAUGUAUUUCAACGAAUAAGUUUCAGCAUUCAGUAAACUCCUCAUGUUCUUUAACUUCCCAAUCCCCGCUGGCAAUUCUUUAAGAUUUCGGCACCGCCUAAUAUCUAGCUUUUGUAAAUUAUAUAAUUCACACAAAGUCUUAGGUAGUCUCUCUAUGCCUAAUUCAGACAAAUUAAGAUAUCUUAAAUGUAUCAAUUUUCCGACAUUUUUUGGAAUUUCUCUAAUCAAACUUGAGUGAAGACGAACAGGCGAGGAUGAUAGCCUUAUAACUAAUGAUUCCCUUAUAACUAAUGCCCUCAAACAUGCCAAUUUACUAAAUAACUUUCGAGUUUCUCUAAUCUUAUAUGUGUUUGGACAAAAACAUAGGCGCAACAGCCUUAUAACUAAUGCCCUUAAACAUUCUUUGCUACUACUAAAAGACGAAAGGAUGCUACUAAGAGACAGAUUGAAAUCACUUCUAUCAUAAAUUAAAAGGGUACGCAAUCUAUCAAGUCCACGAAUGGAUAUAGGAAAUGAAGUGCCUCUUUGAAAAUUUAACCCUAAGUGACGGACUUUGUCACCAAAAGAGUUUAUGACUGAGUCUUUGGUACCAUUAAUUUCUACCCACAAACAUUCUUUUCUACUUACAAAUUGGGCAAAAUCAUGUAUUAUGUCAUGCAUCUUGCAGCUCAUAAUAUCAUCAUCAUCAUCUUUUUUAAACUCUUGAAAGAAAGAGCGUGCUGCUAAAAUGUUGAAAUACUCUUCCCCAAUCAUCUCCAUCUCUUCGUCUUCUUCUGUAUUAAGAUAACCUUGAGCCAUCCAUAGUGAAAUUAGUUCCUCUUUAUUCAUAUUGUAGUUUUUUGGAAAGACAGCACAAUAUGAGAAACAUUGUUUUACCAUAGAAUUGGAGGGCAAAUCGUUAUAACUCAACAACAAAGGAGCUAAAAGACCUUGCCCAAUUGCUUCUACUUUCCACAUUUCACUCUCUAAAAUUCUUUGCCACUCUUUUACUGUACUUUUAGAGCGCAAGAGAUUCCCUAUUACCUUUGCAGCAAGAGGCAGGCCUUUGCACUUAUGUGCAAUUUUGCGCCCGAUUGGUUCUAAUUUUUCACGAUCCUCAAAGGACCUACGUAGAAAUGCCAUCUGCUUAAACAGUAACCAACAUUCCCCUUCUCCCAACUCCUUGACAGGGAUAAUAUCUAUUGAUCCCAACUGUAGUGCAACUGACCUAUCACGUGUGGUAAUUAGAAUUUUACUUUCAUGGUGGCCAUUCUUUAGACAAGAAAAGAAUGGGUCCCAUUUUUUGUAAUCUACAUCCCACACAUCAUCUAAAACAAGAAAAAACUUUUUUCCUUCAAUUGAUGUAUGGAUAUGGCUCAUAAGAGAUUGGAAUUCGCUUAAAUCAUAAGCUUCUUUUGACUUGCCUAGACCUUCAAUGAUUGCUUUGGCAACCCUAAUCCUCUCAAAAGUGUCUGAUACACACACCCAUAUAACUUUUUCAAAAUUUCUUUUCACCUCAUCAUUAUUAUAGGCCAGUUGUGCAAGAGUGGUUUUACCUAUACCCCCUAACCCAACUAGUGAGAUGAUAUGAAGGCCUUCUUGUUGUUCACUACUUUGACACAACAACUUGCUUAAGAGCUCAUCUUUCUCAUUAACUCUACCGCAAACCUCUCCCUCAUCAAUCAAGGAGGUGGUUCGCACUCGCUCUGGUUUCUUGACAUUGUUACUCACAUUCUCAACAAAUUUAAACAUAUCUUUUCGAGUGGCAAUACCAUCUAGCUUUUCAUUGAUUUCCCUAAUCUUGACAGCAAUGUCAUGACGAAGACUGAGUUGUUUGAAACUGCCACAGCAGUUUGAUACAGCACAAAAGAAGGAACGUACCUUCUUCUUAUGAACGCCCUCAAUCUGCAAUUUGAGCCUUGCAGUGGUCCACUCCUCCAACACAUCUUCCAUGUCGUAAGAUGCGUCUUUGAGCUGAUCCAGCCAAAAAGUAACAUCUUUCUCGUGCUGCAUUUGCCUUUUCUCUGCAUCUUCCAGCACAAGUUGAAUGGCUUGUAGAUUGCUGGUGAGCUUUUUCACUUCUUCGUCGACACCAGUAACAAGCCUCACCUGUUGUUUCAGUUCAUCAGUUGCAACUGAGCUCAGCUGCUCCAGGAGAGAGGAAACGAUCGCAUCAACCAUUCUGACAAAGAAGAUGAGAAUUCUGAAGAGUUAUUAGAUGUGCUUUUGUUGCGAAGAUAUGAAAGAAAGGAGUUAUUGCAUUCUUUUAUACUGCAUAGAAAAGGUUUAUGCUUAUCCCCACCCCACACGUCAAUGAUUGUAGAAUGUUUAAUUUCCCUGAUUCUACUCCACUAGUUGUGAUGCGUAAUUAUAAAUAUUCUCAAGUUAUGUAUGAAAAUCCCACAAAUUUGGAUCUAGUAAUGAUUUUUAUGUAUUUUUUCAUAAUCUUCUAAAAUACUAUAUCUGCAUGUUAUUUCGUGCAGAAAUAUGGCAUUGGGUGAAAAAAGUUAUGCUUAUCCCCACCCACACGUUAGUAAUUGUAGUAGCAUCUGUAAUUUCCAUGAUUCUACUCCACGGACGAACACAUUUUUUGUACUAACAUCUUUAAAUUCCCACACGUUAGGAAUUUGGCACAUAAUCUCAAACUCGUCGCAUCUUUAACGUAUGAGGUUGAUGAAUAAAUUCUUUUCUCAUAUCAAUUUAAAACUCCGAGAUUAUGUGCCAAAUUCCUAACGUGUGGGAAUUUUACCUCCUAAGUAAUCCGGCCCACUGCCAAGUGCCAACUUUUUCUCUGUCGAGUUAAUGAUGUUGUUUUGUUUUCCUUGUUUUAAUUAAUGUUGCGGAGAGAAACAGAUCGAUGCAAAUGGCUAGCCAGGUUUUGCAGAAACCGUGAAUGGUCUUGCAUGCAUGUGACAUAAAGCUUUAUAUAUAGCUUAUUCCUCCAUCAACAUUUCAAUGGUUCCAUCUCACGUGCACUUGGCUAUGAAUAAGGUCCAUGCAUGGAUCGAUCGAUUUAGGAGUUUGGACCAUCUCAUGCUGCAGAGUUAUGUGUCAUGUAUGUGUGUUGACACUUGCCAGUUCAUUUUUGUUAUAAAGAUUAUUGAUACUCGUAAAUGUACUACUUACAAAUCAUAAAUUUUGAGUUUGACACUUUAGUUUCAUUUUGUAAUCCCUACGCUCUUUAAAUAUUUGUAAUAAUAUAUUUCAAACUUUAACUCAGACGUAAUGAAUGAAGGGGGAUCCUCUUCUUAUAUAAAUUUUUAUUUUUUAACGUUCAAGUUACAUUUGAUUACGUGUACUUAUUAUCUAGUUUUGACUAUCUAAUGACAUUUGAUUACGUGUACUUAUUAUAUGAUUUUUUUUUAAAUGAUGGGUCUGGUGAGAUUUUUUACAUCUUGGAUUAGUAGGUCAAGAACGGGCAGGGCAGGGCCUUCUCUGAAGUCAAUCUUGUGAGCAACACCAGCUUUUUGGAUAAUUGGCAGCCCCAAUUCAUAAUUUUCUCAGUUGAUGUCCAUGGCCAAAAUCUGCAACCGAAGCUUAUUCUACUCUUAUUAAUCGAGAGAUAAUUUUAUCUCUAACUAAUUUAAUUGGGAGGAAAAUUGAGAGAGAUAUCCACUCUGUCCUUAUUAAUUGAGAGAUAAUUUUACCCUUACCCAAUUUAAUUGGAAAGGAAAUCGAAUUCCAACAAUAACUAGGACUUGAAUCCAUGCACUUAAGCUAACUUUAAGUUUUAGGAUGCAUGGUUAUAAUGUUCUUUAUUUAAAUCCUAACAAAUGGUGGGACUUGAACUUGUGCCUACAAACAUUGAGUGCUUAGGGGCUGCAAAAUUUCAUAACUUAAUUUUAGUUGAUGUGGUAUGUGCCCUAUCACAUAAAUAUGUAGAUAAUAAUAAUUAAUACAUUAACAAAAUGAAAAAUAUUAGUUUACAAAAUACAAAUCCAAAUUUUUUGUGUGACAAGGGACUUAAAAGGGAGAGACUAAACAAAUGUGGUGAAAACGACAUGUAUUACUAAAACUAAAAAUACGAAGUCUAGGCAAUUGAAAACAUCGGGUUUUUUAUUUAAAUAUCCCCAAUUUGUCCUUAAAUACCAAAUUUAUACCCUAUUAUAUACAUAUACCUCACGAAGAUAGGGAAAAUAAAAAAUAACCUUAAAAAAAUCAAGAAUCCACACAUUUCUUCCUCUCAGUGCAGGAAGAUGUCGAGUACGAAGUCGGGUAAGUCGAGAAUUUAGUCGAGCAAGAAUUGGAGAUAAGUAAGUUGAGUAUAUGGUCCAGUAGGAAGUUGAGUAAGCAUAUUAAAUGAGUCCAGUAUUAAGUGGUAGAGUAUUAAGUAAAAGUCAAGUAAAUUUUUUAAACAAGUCAAAUAAAAUUUAUGUAAUUUUUAAAGAGGUUGAGUAUUAAGUCGGGUUAGUACAUUGGGUCGAGUGUUAAUAUUUUUAAAGAAGUGAAGUCUGGUAAGUUGAGCAUUCAGUCGAGUAAGAAGUUAAGGCAAUUGAAUAAGUCGAGUCUCUAGUCGAGUACGAAGUCGGGUAUAAAGUCUGGUAAGUUGAGCAUUCAGUCGAGUAAGAAGUGAAGGCAAUUGAAUAAGUCGAGUGUCUAGUCGAGUACGAAGUUGGGUAUGAAAUCUGGUAAGUUGAGCAUUCAGUCGAGUGAGAAGUGAAGGCAAUUGAAUAAGUCAAGUAUCUAGUCGAGUACGAAGUCGGGUAUGAAGUAUGGUAAGUUGAGCAUUCAGUUGAGUAAGAAGUGAAGGCAAUUGAAUAAGUCGAGUACGAAGUCGGGUAUGAAAUAUGGUAAGUUGAGCAUUCAGUCGAGUGAGAAGUUAAGGCAAUUGAAUAAGUCGAGUAUCUAGUUGAGUACGAAGUCGGGUAUGAAGUUUGGUAAGUUAAGCAUUUAAUCGAGUAAGAAGUGAAGGUAAUUGAAUAAGUCGAGUAUCUAGUUGAUUACGAAGUCGGAUCUGAAGUCUAGUAAGUUGAACAUUCAGUUGAGUAAGAAGUGAAAACAAUUGAAUAAGUCGAAUAUCUAGUCGAGUAAAAAGUCGAGUAAGUAGAUUGAAUGAGUAGGGUAUUAAUUUUUUGUUGGCAUUUUAUUGAGGCUAUUUUUGUACUUUCUUUGGUUUUUUAAGUAUGUAUAUGCAAAGUACAGAUUUUAAUAGAUGGAUGUAUAUUUUGGGUAUUACGAGAGAAACGGGGUAUAUCCCACGCAAUUCCUUCGAAAACAUCUCUGUCAAUUGCAAUGAACAGAUCACAACCCUUCAUAAUUAAACAAAAUCAAACUUGAAAAAAAAAAUCACACACACACACACAAAACAAUCACAAAAACUAUUUGUUCUGAUCAUCCCUGCUUUUUUUUAGCGUAGCUCUUGGAAUGAAAAUUAACAAAAAGUGUCAAAAGAGAAGCAUUAAACACAGCAUUGAAGCACCAGCCCAAAAUCCCAGAGCAACCAAAUCCCGUAAAAUGAUAAUACAGCAUCAAAACCGAAACAACAAAACUAAACACAAACUGAACAAUCUAACAAUCAGUGACCAAUCUCUUCCACUUUGGCCGCAACCCCAUCACACACAAUAGAUAGUACCCGUACAUGAUCACAUGCACACUUGCAUUAGUCACAAGUGCAAUAGGAAACAAAGACUGCUUCGUCUGUAACCAAAGGUAGCACAUUACGACGACGGUUGCAUGGUGGUAGACGUGGAGGAACGUGAGCCAUUGGAUGGAUUUUGACAAAAUGAUCAAAAGGGUGUCUAAGAAUUCGAGUAUUUUGGAGAGGUAGAAGAGGUAAGCGUAGAAGAAGAGGGGGCCAGACGGAGAAAUGGUGGGGGGGAAACAGAGGGUGUAAUGGAGGUGGGGCAAAUGGACGAUGAUGGAGAGAGUGCAGCCAACGGCCAUGAUGAGGGAGAGGAGGAGGAGGGUGAGGUUAUGGACGGCUGUGAUGGGCUUGAGGAUGUGGGGUCCAAUGAGAGGUGAUGAUGAUGGUGAUGUUGAUGUUGAUAUGUGGUAGAGGAUGAAUGUGAGGGAGAGGUAAGUGAGGAUGGAGAGAAUGAGGAAGUGUGGGGAAGAAGCUAGUGUUUGGUUCUGAGUCCAUGUGAAGCUGAGGAUUUGGGGGUGGUUUACAAGACAAUAUUGGAGUGUUGAGGUGAUUGAAUUUGAAGCCAUGGCUAGUUUUUGGGGGAAGAAAGAUUUUGGAAGAGAUGAUGUUGAGAUGAACGGGGGAGUUUAUAAAGUUUUGGGAUAAUGUGGAGGGUAUUUUGGACAUAUUGUUGUCUCAGCUUAAAUUUUGGGAAAAAGAUGAUCAAUAAGAAGCUCUUUUUUUCAUAUCAAUUUAAAACUCCGACGGUGUUUCCAAAAAUUGUUUUUCUUUUUCCGUUUUUUAAUUUUAAAUCAUAAAUUUAGUAAAAGAAGUUGAAUCAAGUGAUCACUUUUUUUUUAAUGUAAAACAAUUAAUUUCUUUUGUGAUUUAAGCAAAUAUUGAGUUGCAUACUUUAAAUAUAUUAAUAUUUGAUUCGAAAUUUCAUCUACCGAAACUACAAAAAUUAAUAUUUUCUAUUAAAUCAAAACCAAAAUUAAAGAUGACUCCUUGUCUGCCAACUGUCAUUAAACAAAGCCAUCACUCACGUGAAAAAAAAAAGUGAUAUAUUCAUUUUAACGUAAUUUCAUACCAACAUAUCAUUCUUUUUUUUCCAAUAAUGACCUCUUUAAUUAUAAAAUAUGGUAAAAGGGGAUGGGUUCGAGGUAUGGCGUCCGGGCCUUUGUGACAACGGUAUCUUUGGACGUGGGUGUCGUUAGAUUUUUGGCUAUUUUCUGGUCAAUCAAACUGGUGGAUCACAUGCAUUUUAAUGACCUCUUUAAUUAUAAAAUAUGGUAAAAGGGGAUGGGUUUAAGGAAUGGCGUCCAGGCCUUUGUGACAAAGUUGGAUGUGGGUGUCAUUAGACUUUUGGCUAUUCUGCUCAAUCAAACUCGUGGAUUACAUGCACUCAACGCGGACAUUAUGGAAAUGGGAGAAAAUUAUGUUAGUAAUAGCAUCUUCAAAAGUUUCUAUACAUUUUACUCUUUAAAUAUUUAUUUACUUAUUUAUAUGAUAAAUAGAAAGGUAAAAAAAUAUAUUAUUCUCCAAAAAACUCUUCAAAUAAAAAUAAGUUAAUAUUAUUUUAAUCAAAUAAUUAUUUUUUAAAGGAAAAGUUAACAGCAAUUAAAGCACUUCUCUUUCUCUCUCUAAUAAAAAGUAAUAAAAUAUUAAUUGAAGUGUUUUUUAGAACCUUAAAUGUUGAUGUGACUCUUCAAAUAAGUAAUAAAAUCUUAAUUGAAGAGCCUUUUGGUGAUGGUUUAAAACCCACUGUUUCGUUCUAAACUAAGUGAAUUUAUCUCGUGAGCUAAGUAGUUUAGGAGAUAACUCAAAUAAUUAACUUUUUAUUAGUUUAAUAAUAAGAAUUUUCGAUUAUAUUUUAAAAGUAUAAUUCAUUACAAAAAAUUACUUAAUAAAAAUAACUGUUAUUUAACAUAUUACAUUUUUUCAAUAAUAAAAUAAUUCAAAUUUUUAAUUAUUAUAACAAAAAAAUUUGUAAUAUAAUCCAUUCAUAUACCACAUCACGUAAAAUGUAACCUAGUACUACAUGUAAUCUUGUUACUACUAUUCCUAUAAUAUUCUACCACAUCAUAUACUAUCAAAUUCCAUCCGGCAUGCCAAAUGUGCAAAGUUUGAGUAAGACUUGUUAAAGUUGAGUAACAUCUUAUAUGGCCAAGCGCAUUGAGUAUGGAUUUGCAUGAUCGAGUGAGUACAACUAAAGUCGGGUAGAGUCUGGAAAAUCCCUAUAAUGUUGAGGUUGGAGAACUAUACUUUUUAAGGUACAUAAUUAAACAAUUUUGGUAAAUAUUUACUAUUAUAACUUAAAAAUUAAUUUGAUUUGAUCUCAUAUAUUAUUAUAAUAAAAAAACUUAUAAUAUCUUUAUUAAUUUUAUUAAAAAUUAUUAUUUAGAAGUCAUAUAUUUAUUACACAUUGUCAAAUUUCAGCUUUUUGUUUUUAACAACAGCUAGUAAUAUCAAACAAGACCUAAGUUGAGUAUGAUCAAUUAAUUAAAAUUAUGAUUUUUUUUUGUAUAAAAUAAUCAUUAGAUAAUUAGUCUGUAAAGAAUAUCGGCUACUUCAAAUGGAAACUUGCGAUAAAAAAUGCAUCACAAAAGUAACAAUGACACACUAUAUAAGAAAUCUGAAAUAGAAUUUGCAAAAUUGAACUGAGUUACGGAGAGUAAAUAAGACUCCAAAGGAACAUGGCAAUUAUUAUUAUCUAGGAAACAAUUCAUAGCUAAAACAAAAUUAACUAUACUUGCCAGGAAAUAUGGCGAAUUCCACCACCUCCUACAAGUUCUUAGGUGUCUUAGAGUUUGAUGACGACUUCCAUGCUGUGUCUCUUCGACAGGCAGCAAAAUUGGGCAAUUGACUACAUUAACUCCAAGAAAUUUAUGCAGUCACCUUCCUCCGGACUAUCCUCUUUCUUUGAGCUUUGGUUGCCCCUAUUUCCCCUUCAAUAGAGUCAUCACUGUUUUGUUUGAAGCCAAGGAGCCCAAGAUCAGAAAAAUGGCAUUCUUUGGUAUCAAUCCCUCGAUCCCCAAGUCACGUCACUAACUUUCUGUUGAUCGCGUAGCUAGUUCAUGUAUGCCACAGCAGCGGAAGGUAGCCUGAAGAAGAAAAAACCUCUCUCUCUUUCUUGCUCAGUAACCACCUGGGCACUUUUGUGCUGAGCCAUGACAUCCUGAGAUGGCCUGUUGUGUAAGCCUUCUUCAAAAGGUCAUCUGUCGAUCUUUCUCCUAAUUAGACAUCCAAAACCCAGCAUGGAAUCCAUUUGAGAAGGUGGACAAUAGACAAACUCCAACGCAUACAGACAGUAAAGAAGAAUUUAGACCGCAAUCACUGUGGCUGAAUAAAUGGGCCUAUUAAGCCUAUUAAAAGUUGGAACCAUAUUCACCACUCGCAGUUCCUUAGAGAACUUUAUCAGAAUUCUGAAAAUUUAAAACUAUUCUUACAUAUUUAACUGUAAAACAAGAGAAAUUGUACUUCCGUAGCAAAGUCUCACUAUUGGUAAGUAUCUGGACUUGGAAAGGAUGCUAGUUGAUUAAGUAAAGGAAAAUUGAAAUCAGACUUUGAGGUGAUAGAUCUAUAUACACUUUAAUCGGAACCACAUUAACAUCAUAUGAGCCAAACAAACAAAUUCCCCAGUCAAAGUUCAACAAACAAAACAUUAAAACAAGAGUAAUUUGGUGUAUCAAUGUAUAUAUAGAGAUGUCGAUCAUUGACAAAUACGUAAAAGAGGGAGGGAGAGACCUCAAAGCCGUGCUUAACAACAUUGCUACUCCAAUAACUUCAAAAUGGUUGGCGACGUCUCUAUCAAAGCCACACAAUAGCUGAUAUCUCAUGUUUGCAUGUAGUCCAAUGAAAGCACCAUAACCAAGAACAUUAGUACUCACAGAUGGGUUUGUCACAGAUAACCUGUCAGGCAAUAAAAAUUGCCCAAAUUAAACAAAUGUUAGACCGGCUUAGACAGUAAACGGAACAAUAUUCUAAUUUUACUUUAUUUAUAACGAAUAAGUGAACAAAGGAAUGAAAAGGAAGUUUGGCAACAGUCUUUUUACCAGCCAGAUAGUUUGACAAAGAAUCUUGCACUGCUCCUGCAGCUAAUCCCACCAUACACAACUCUGCAGUCUUGUUUGGGAGUCAAAAUUCUCAAAAUGGGUAACUCUGUUCAAAUAUACUGUUUGGGAACUUUUGUAAUGUAUUUUGCAAGUCAAACAGGAAGGUAUUUCCAUAAGAAGGUUCACUUCACAUGCUCAACAAUUCAAAUUUGCGGAUGAUAUUUCUCAAAAUGGAGGGCUCUAUUUGGCUUGCCAACAAUCUUCCUCACCAUUAUCAUCCUUGCUAUACCGGUUAAACUGAACAGUCUUCAUUCUGACAUUUGCCCUAUUAACCUGAGUACACAAGAAUCCGAAACAACUGUUAGAAAUUAUAAUCUUUAUAUAUAGCCAAAAUGUUGAAUAAGAUGAUGUACUUGAUAAUAAAUACCUGAGUUAAUAAAUAAUUAAGGGGCCGGUAACAAUGUCAGCAUCUUAUCAAGUGGGGAAAGCCUACGCAACGAAGAUGCUGCCUGCUUUCAAGAAAUAAUAACUUUCCAAUUCCAUAAGGUAGGUUAAUGCCCUUUUAAAAAUAUCUCCACCAGCCUAACAAUUAUUCAUUGAAAUGUGUGAGUGUGAAUUCGAACGAAUUAAUCAAAUAUGAUGACACGAGAAAGAAAAUUAAAAUAACCACAAGAAGUAGAAAUAUACUUUUGUUAUAUUUAGUGCAUCUUCUGUGUGUGCUCAAACGCAAUGCCUCAAGGCGCAAGAUAAUUUUAUGACCAUCAAUCUUUUGCAGCCAUAUGCAGACUUGAAACAUUGGCGGUGGUUCUAAGGAACUUGAAAAUUAGAAAAGUUUCAAAAUGAGUGACUAAAUAUGAUAAUCGAAAUUAAUUAAAUAUACACGCCUUGUAAAUAUGAAACUAAAUUACUCAAAUGUAUGUGCCUCUUCGCAGCAAUUGCUCGUGGUGGAAACUUUACUGCAAAGACUUCCUCAAACCCUUGAAGAUCACACUCUUCCUGGCAACAAAGAAACAGAGUCGAUAUACGAAGAUGAUUUUACUAACAAGUGAGAGCUUGCAAAUAUUGGAAGGAUAACGAUUGCUCAUAACCCAAAUCCCCAAUACCCUCUAAUAUCUCACUCGAGUGAGUUCAAGCCCCCAAAAUUCACUACAGUGAAACUCUCGAAACAAAAUUCUCUUCAAAUAUUCUCAACUCAAAUUUGAUAAUGAUAUCUCUUGAAGGAAGGCAAAAAAUCUAACACUGAUCAAAUUGGCUUGUGAACAAUUAAUGUUCCUGGCCAUCAUUCAUACUAGGUGUGGCGAACAAUUAAGCUGCUUAGUAUCCUGAACCUGAUAACUUACACAAACAAAAACAACUUGCCUAAAGUUUAAUAUUUAGAGGCAGAACGGUAAAGAAGAAGAUAUAUAUUGAUACUAAAAUUUGACUUGCGUUACCCUGAUGUCAAGAAUAGCGGGAUCUCAUGUGGGCAAAAUCUUCGCAAUACGAGAUGCUUGCAAAAUUGAAGCAGCAUCUUAUCACCUGUAAUUUAAUUAAGAUAAUAACUUUCCCCGACUAUUUCAAUGCAUUAUUGGCAACUAAAUUCAGAGGGCGCUAAUUAAAUACCCUUUUAACAAUAUCUUCUUAUUCUUCUCUAAUCUAGCAGUUAUUUGGAAAAUCUAAAUGACAGUCAUGCAUCAAUGGCGUCAAAAUUUGGCUACAAAGCAGCCUACAAAAGGCUUCACCCUCUGAAUGAGAGCAUGAAUUCGAAUAAUAUGAUGAAUGAAGAAACAAAGGCAUAAUACCACAAGAAGUCAAACUUUUCCCCAGAGCUCUGUUUCUGUUUGUGCUAAAGCAAAUGGAAACCAGUGGAAAUGAAUUUCUAUGAACUAGACAUAUCAGCCAAAACAGGUACUCUGUGCAAGCAAAGUAAAAAAGAGUUACAAACAAAUUUAAGAUUGAUAUGAUAAUUAAAAUUUCAGUCACCAUAUAAUUAAUAGAAAACUUUGUACACAAUGAUUUAUUGCAUAUUAAGAUUGUAUACCUAAAUUUUAAUUGCUAUGCAAAAUAUGAUAUUAGCAUUAGGAGACCGCACCAAAACGUACCGUAUUGAAUGUGCCUUUUCACAACCAUUGUACAAGCUUUGAAGCUUUGGCACAAAUGCUUUUUCAAACCCAUGAACAUGAUGCACCCGAGAGAUGCAAGAUAUGAAAUUGUUACAACAGCAGGCAUUGAAACAUUUGUUAAGAAAGGAAGUUUAUGAAAAUACGCCUUAACAUUCAUUAGAUACAUGUCUUCAGGAAUCAAUUCAUCUGUAAUAACAAUUUUCAAAGAGCAUUAACUGCUUUAAGCCCCUCAACAUCACAGAGAUCUUCAAUUAAAAUAGCGCAGAUCCGGCCAUCACUAUUACUUCUACUGCUCUUUCGCUUUAGAGAACGCUUGAAUUACAGAAUGCAUGUAAGGCUUUCUUGUUUAAGGUCCAGCAAACCUUGCACAAUAACAACAGAGGCAGUGGUUCCAUUGCCAGCCUAAUCCUUGGUCUCACCAAUGUUCUGCACGAGUAGGAAAUCAACCUUAAAAUUAAGAAUGAGUUGCAAAAACUGUUUAUGGCCCUAAAGAACUUGAAAAUCGGAAAUGAUUAAGAAUGAGUGAGUAAACAUUUUAAUCGAAUAAACAUACAAAACUUGAAAACCUAACAUUGAAGUACUCUGAAUGAAUGUGCAAUUGCACGAGCUGGUGACAACUGACUUUACUGCAAAGGCUCUUUCAAACCCUUGGAGAUGAUAAAAAUAAAAAUGCAAUGCUUGAGCUUGAGCUUGAGCUUGUUUUAACAUCAUCAUAGUAGGGAAUUUUGAUAUAUCUUUACUUCUCUGUGGUUCAAUCAUUUACUUCUCUGUUCUUGUUUAUUCACAACAAGAUAUCAAUAGAAGAAGAUGGAAAUGAAAUUCUAUAAAAUAAAGCAAGUGAAUUACCAGCAGAACAUUUUAGCAAUCCUUUGGCUAAACUUUUCAUUUUCUUAGCAUACUCUCCUGCCUGCAUCAUUAAAACCAAAUUAGAUUGGACCUGUGAAUUGCUAGUGUGGUUCUGACAUUUCCUCGAAUCCCUGGUGAACAUAAUUAAACGCGUAUGAAAUAAAACAAAGUGGGCUAAUGUACUACUAAAAACAAUUACACAAUUACUUUAAAGAAUUAAUGUCACAUAAAUUAUAUAUAAAAAAAUAAGAUUAUCAUUAUACAAGAUAAAAUUGAUAAUUUAUUUUUCAACAUUACUGCAAAUGUAUUACAGAGAUUUUGUCUCUCAGGAAGUUACACAUAACAAAUUUUCGUACAUUAAAAAAUAAAUUACAUUGGGAUUUUCUAUGAUGUUGUAUGCAAUUUUACAAAAGAGCACAUAUUUUUUAAAAGUAAAUAAAUAUAGAAAUUUAAACAGACUACACUUGUAUUUUUUUAUUAUUUAAUCUUUAGAAAACAAGUUUAACAGAAUUGAUAACUAGGAAGUUUUACAUAUUAUUUCAUUGCAAGCAACAACGAAGUAAAUCAGAGGAGGAGGAGAAAUUACCGGCGAGUGAUAUCUUACGGCUACCACGUGAUGUGGGGAAUGUGAGAUAUCUUCUCCUUUCCCCUCUCUAUGACGGUUUUCCAAAAGGGGACAUCCCCAAAUUGUCAAUUUCUGCAGCGUCGUCGUUCGAAGGAGGUAAUCCGGCAGCACCUUUAAUUUGGGGCAAUCCCCAAUUAGCAGGGAAGAAAGACGUGGUAUGUCUGUUGUCCUGCGAUCUUCUAGAAUGGGCAGUUCUUCCAAAUUUUUACAAGAAUAAAUACUCAGUUCCUGCAGCGUCGUCGUCCGAAGAAGGUAAUCCGGCAGCACCUUUAAUUUGGGGCAAUGCUCAAUUUCCAAGGAAGAAAGACGUGGCAUGAUGGAGAUGUUUUCCUUCCUCGUAAUCCUGUAAUUCCACUCUUCCAAUUCAUCCAAGAACCAAAUUUUGAGAGAUUUCAAUUUGGGGAAGGCAAUAACUGAUGAUGACGAUGAAGAUGAAGAUGAGUCGUCCUCACCGCUUUCUUUUAUUCCCAAAAACUCAUUACCCACUCUUUUUACACUUUUCAAAUUGCAUAGGAUGAGUUUUUCCGGAGGCAAUUUUCCCAAAGGAGGCAAAUGCUCACAGUUAAAACACAAGGAAAGAUAUAAAUUCCUUAGAUUGGUUAGUAAAGUCAACCAUUUGGGAAAAAUGACGCCUCCAUAGGAUUCAAUCCCUAAUUCCUCUACAUUCAAAGGCGGUUGUAAGGCUUCAAGAAGUUGUUUAUCUUUCUCGUUCUUCCUCCUCCCUUCUUCGCCUUCCCCAUCUACGACUCCACCAAACACAAGACGCAAACGAAGGAGGUUUUUCUUAUUGUAAAGUUGUAACCUCUCAACCUCAUCUACAUGCGAUACAUUACUCAGCCCUUCUAUACUACAUUUACCACGGAGUUGAAGAUUUUUCAGAGAUUCAAGCCUACAUGUGCUGCCGCCAUCAACACCUCCACCCACAACAAACUUUUCUAAUGUUCGAAGGCUGGUCAAUCUGGAAAUCCCUAUUGGAAACUCCUCAUGUUCUUUAACUUCCCAAUCCCGGCUGGCAAUUCUCUAAGAUAUUUGCACCGCCUAAUAUCUAGCUUUUGUAAAUUAUAUAAUUCACACAAAGUCUCAGGUAGUCUCGCUAUAUAUAAUUUAGACAACUUAAGAUAUUAAGAUAUUUUAAAUGUAUCAAUUUUCCAACAUUAUUUGGAAUUUCUGUAAUCCAAUUUGUGCCUUCAUACAAAAGCUUGAUCGAUUGCCUUAUAACUAAUGCCCUUAAACAUGCCAAUUUAUUAAAUAACUCCCGAAGGAUGCUAUUAUUAAGAGACGGAUUGAAAAAACCUUCAUCAUAAAUUAAUAGGGUACGCAAUCUAUUAAGUCCAUAAAUGGUCAUAGGAAAUGAAGCUCCUCCUCCAAAAUUUAACCGUAAGUGACGGACUUUGUCACCAAAAAAUUUUAUGACUGAUUCCUUGGUACCAUUAAUUUCUAGCCACAAACAUUCUUUGCUACUUACAAAUUGGGCAAAAUCAUGUACUAUGUCAUGCAUCUUACAACUCGUGAAAUCAUCAUCGUCCUCAUAUAUUUUAAACUCUUGAAAGAAAGAGUGUGUUGCUAAGAUGUUGAAAUACUCUUCUCCAAUCAUCUCCAUUUCUUCGUCUUCUUCUGCAUUAAGGUAACCUUGAGCCAUCCACAGAUCAAUCAACUCCUCUUUAUCCAUCACGUAGUCUUUUGGAAAGACAGCACAAUAUGAGAAACACCGUUUUACCAUAGAAUUGGAGGGCAAAUCGUUAUAACUCAACAACAAAGGAGCCAAAAGACCUUGCCCAAUCUCUUCUACUUUCCACAUUUCACUCUCUAAAAUUCUUUGCCACUCUUUUACUGUACUUUUAGAGCGCAAGAGAUUCCCUAUUACCUUUGCAGCAAGAGGCAGGCCUUUGCACUUACAUGCAAUUUUUCGCCCGAUUGGUUCUAAUUUUUCACAAUCCUCAAAAGAACGACCGAAAAAUGCUAACUGCUUGAACAAUGACCAGCAUUCCUCUUCAACCAAUUGCUUGAUGGAGAUAAUAUUUGUUGAUCCCAUCAUACGUGCAACUAACUCAUUACGUGUGGUAACCAAAAUUUUACUUCCGUGGAGACCAUUUUUUAGACAACGGAAGAAUGGUUGCCAUUUAUUGUAAUCCCCAUCCCAUACAUCAUCUAAGACAAGAAAAUUUUUUUUUCCUUUAAUUGAACUCUGGAUACGGCUCAUAAGAGAUUGGAAUUCGUUUAAACCAGAAGCUGACUUCCCUAGACCUUCAAUGAUUGCUUUGGCAAUCCUAAUCUGAUCAAAAGUGUCCGAUACACACACCCAUAUAACUUUUUCAAAAUUUCUUUUCACCUCAUCAUUAUUAUAGGCUAGUUGUGCAAGAGUGGUUUUACCUAUACCCCCUAACCCAACCAGUGAAAUGACCUGAAGGCCAUUUUGUUGUUCACUACUUUCACACAACAACUUGCUUAAGAGCUCACUUUUCUCAUCAACCCUACCGCAAACCUCUCCCUCAUCAAUCAAGGACGUGGUUCGCACUCUCUCUGGUUUCUUAACAUUGUUACUCACAUUCUCAACUAAUUUGAAACUAUCUUUUUGUCUGGCAAUAUCAUCUAGCUUUUCACUGAUUUCUCUAAUCUUGACAGCAAUAUCAUGACGAAGACUGAGUUGUUUGAAACCACCAAAGCAGUUUGAGGCAGCAGGAAAGAAGAAACAUACCUUCGUCAAAAAAGUAACAAAAGCACCGUCGUUAUCAUCAUAAUCAUCAUCGCCUCCCUCAUCAAGCUGCAAUUUCCGUGUUUCAGUGAUCCACUCUUCCAACAC
rnacentral:lncRNA from 1 species